rnacentral:lncRNA from 1 species
GAUCUGCAGGUCAUGUCAUAUCAUAUUGUUUUGAUUGUUAUAACAUGAAGUUACAAGCAAAAUAAUUCAUAUUAACUAACUUGCAAUAAGUAUUCUGAAAUUUCACUUUCAAUACAAGUAUAGUUAUUGUGCAUAUAACUUUCGCAUUGCAGAGUAUUUUCUCUUUCCUUAACAGUGAUUUACAUUUGCUAAUGUUACCUGCGAUAUUUAGGAAACUGAAUUAGUAUUAAGCCAUAAAACAUACUUUGCAAAAUGAUCUUGGAUAGUUGGAACUCAAAUACAUCUUUGACACCAUACCUUAACAAAACAUUUCUUUCUUUCAGCUUCUGUGGAUUUUUCCUCUUGUGCGGUAUCUCCGUGCUUCCCAAAGUAUGAUUCUACAAAGGGCAACAAUCCUGUCAAGCCAUUGCUAUCAAUCCGCAGCUUCCGCCCAAGAACUGAAGUCAGUUGUCAAGCAUCUUUAGCAUCGUUCAGUUACCCUGAGUUAUCUUCUAAACCUAAAUGGUGGUGGAGGACCUUGGCAUGUGUACCCUAUCUUCUGCCACUGCACAACAUGUGGUCGCACGCAGAUGCUGUGUACCAGCUUCAUCCAUACUUGCAACAAUUUGGGCUGUUUUAUGCCUUCAUUGAUACAAUGGCAUUGGUCCCUGGAUGGCUUUUUCUGGUGAUCUUCAUGACUGUCUACUUCUUCGUGGUGAGACGGAAGUGGUCCCCACACUUUUUGCGGUAUCACAUCAUAUUGGCCAUUCUUCUUGACACUGGAUCUCAAGCUUUGGCAACCAUGUGCAACUGGAACCCAAGCAUUGUUUUUCAGGGUAAACCAAUGGCAUAUUUCUGGAUGACACUGGCCUUCAUUCAGAUCUUCACAGUUAUUGAGUGUAUGAGGUGUGCGCUUGCAGGCGUAUAUCCUAAUGUUCCAUUUAUAUCCCACACGGCGUUCAUCCAUUCUGAUCUGAACCUGUUCAGAUAAUUGGCUAUUGCAAUGUGCUUUUUAAAAUGUUAGAGGGAUCAAGGAACUGUGUGUGUAGGCAAUCAUGUGUGUGUUCAUUGAACCUGCCUAAGGCAUUAAAAUGGUUGGAGAAUGCAUUCUGGGAUGUAAUAGGGCAUGUAAGGAGAUGCAAUCAUGGAUAACCGUAGUAGCUUGUGUGCACUCUGCAGUGCUGGUAUUGUUAUAGCUACAUGUUUUUAUGUAAUGAAGCUCCAAGGGGAACGUGACAUAAAUUUUGUUUGGCCGAGUUUCCAAAACGGCAAGGAAAUUCUGAUCAUCUUAUUGUAUUUUGUUUCAAUUUCAGAGCCAUUGGACUCUGUUUGCCUGCUGUUGGACUCAAUUUUCCAAAUUGCAAGUGAUAGUUUUCCUUGGACUAUUCUGCAUCUUAUGGUGUUCUGUUUCAAUUUUGGAGCAAUUGGACCCAAUUUCGCUCUUCACCAUGGCAUAAUUCCUUGUGAAAUCAUUCAAAAUGACUAUCUGCUUGCAAUUAAUUAGUUGAGGUAAUCCAGACACUGUAAGGUGGAACUGUACAUGCUAACAUGCGGGUACACACUGUAACACAGGUUACUGAAUCGCUGUGGCCCAGAUGAAGUCUCGGAAGUAUCACAGGAUAUAUGGCUCUCAACAGGAUGUAGGGCUCUUUUUUUUGAAUUAACAGGAUAGAGGGCUCAGUUUCAUGCACAUGUCCCUGUCUUCAAGUUGAAAAAUAAAAUUAAAAAAGCUGAGGAAACGUAAUACUCCCCUGAUCCCAUAUUAAAUUAAGUGACUCAAAUUUGCCCAAAUAUGGACGUAUCUUGCUUAAAAAGCGUUUAGAUACAUGUAAUAGAAAGUCACUUUAGAUAGAUGUAAUAGAAAGUCACUUUAUGAGACGGAGAGAGUAUCAUAUAUGUUCAUGCUAUAUAAGAAGAAAAGUAGAUAGCUAAACACAAGUAGCUCAACAAACAAGAUUAUCAUACACCACAAAAAAUAAGUCUAUGGCACCACUUCUCCAUGUUACCGCAGUGUUGCUCGAUAGUCGAUAACAAGGUGAAGAUCUACUAUUCACAGUUACCAAUGAAAUAUUACAAAUUAAAUAAUCACCCCACUUGGUGGCUGUGAUAUUUGCGAUACAAAAAAAGUAAAGUCAAGGUCUUUUUGCCCAGAUACUCCUCUUUCUGCUUUGGUCUACCCUAUAGAAACAUAUCAGAAAUUAAUGGAAUGUGAUGUUUGCCGCAAAACAAGUAUAUUCAAGGUCAUUCUGCCAGAUACUCUCUUCCUGCUACGACCUAGUCUGCAGAAACAUCUCAGAAAUGAGUGGAAAGAUGUUCAAUAAGAACUAGCCCUUAGAACAGUUCAAUAAUUUCGCAUUCCUAAUCUCAACCCUUAGACUUUCUGAUCAAGUUGUGAUUGUGAUGACAGUAUGCCAUGCUUCUGUGUCUUCUCGCUGGGUAUUAUGUAAACCUGCCGCUCUUUGCCUCCUGGUUUGGACGAGGCAUUCCCGUACCAAACCAUGGCAAUCACUGCUAGGGUCAUGCCAAGUGCGACAUGGAAAUUGAGGCCCUCUUUUCCAAAGAAGAAAAAACCCAGGGUCAACACAAGAAUAGUCUUCAUGUGGCCUAGAACUUGAAACGAGACAGCUGUGAAUCUUCCGAUGCAAAUGAACUGGCUUAGAUUAGUACCAACAGCAAUUAUGCACGACAAUACAAUGAAGAACUGAAAAACAAGUGAAAAAGGAAACAUUAGUGUGCAGUUUGCUCAGGUAAAACUAGUUUAGGUCAAACAAAUACUCUUCCAAAUCGUUAAGGAAGGCCUUUGACCAACAUUUACAUCAUUAGUGUGUGAUUUGUGUGGUACAAAAUCAUAAUCAAGUACUUUUGAAUACAAAUCUAACGACAUCAAUUUUAUGCCCCAUAAAUUAAAUUUAAUGAAGUAUUUGUUGGUCAAAGGCUUGUCCUAACGAAACAAAAUCCACCAUAUUUUAUUUUUUUGCGGAGGGAGCAUCAAUUAAGAGAACUGUUACAAACCGAACUAUGCAUCACGUUCAUAUCAUACAAUUUUAGUGAUAACUGACAGAAAACUCAGAAAGUAUUUAGAAAACUCCAUAUAUGUACAAGAUGCAUCUAUGAAACAGUAUGUUGCCUUUUAUGGUAGAACCUGCAUUAACUAUUCUCAAUCAGGCAUAUUUGACAUAUAUGCUUCUUUACUACUCCUUCCGUUCCCAAAUAUAAGAUGUUCUAGCUUUGUCCUAAGUCAAACUUCCUAAAGUUCGAACAAGUUUAUAAAAACAAUCUACCAACAUCUACACUCUAAAUUAGUUUUACUAAAUCCAUGAUGAUAUAUGUCGUAAUAGUAUACUUCUUAGAUAUUGUAGAUAGUAGUAAAUUUUCCUGUAAACUUGGUCAAACUUUCAAAAGUUUGACUUAGGACAAAGCUAGAACAUCUUAUAUUUAGGAAUGGAGGUAGUAGCAUAGUGGAAAAGUCUGAUAUGAACAUAGGUCCAUAUGCACCCAUUCAUGAGUUUGUAUACUUGUUUACUUCAGAAGAAUCUCAAAAUUCACGAAAAAUAAUAAUCAUGUAUGCACUGUACAGAAAAAACACAGAGAUGUUAAGCUAUAUGACAAACGGACAUUCUUGUCUCUCUUUUUUCUGCUGUAUAACAAUAGAUUACGUUGUACUCGUGACAUAUAGUAAACCUGUGUAGAUGCAUGAUUAAUCUUUUCCCGUAUGAUCAGUUUGCUUACAACAAUUGAGAGGAAAUGAACAUGCACAAUGGAGGUGACUACUGAAAGACACAUUUUCUGUACAGAGGACUCUAGAUUAUACUCCCUCCGUCCCAUAAUAUGAGGCACGCACGCAUACCUAGAUCUUCAAUUUGACUAAUUAAAUAUGCAUGUUUUUUAACAAAAAGUACACCAUUAGAUUCGUUAUCGAAAAAACUUUCUAAUGAUAUAAUUAUUUAAUUUAUAUUAAGUUAGCUAAAUUGACAAUCUAAGGAUGCGUGUGUGCCUCAUAUUAUGGGACGGAGGAAGUACUACUUAACAUAACACAGGACUAAAUACCAUAAAGAAAUAAGAAGGGAAUGGAUCCAGAAUAAGCAUCACGUACCGUAACUACCACCGUAUAAUUAAAAGUAUCGACUCUUUUGUUGGUCAACCAUAAGUCCACAAAAGGACCCAGUAUUAACAAUGAUGCUGCCUGAGCAGGAGCAGUGUGACCCAAGAGAUCAAAGGAGCCAAGUGAGUACUUUCGUUGAAGGUGAUGAACAUACUGCCACACAAAAUAAGGGUAAAUAAUCACAAUUCCCAUUAGGACAUGUGCCAUGUAGAAAUGUGCUCAACAAACGCACAAAUUCUAGAACCCGGGAUACUCACAUGCUGUUGUAAUGCAGUGCUCCAGACAGCUAUUAUGGCAGCUAUCAACCCUUGAGAAUUCACACUAACAUCAGUCACAGUACAAACAGCAACGCCUACUAGGACAAGCAUUAUACUGAGCUUUGUAUCUCUUGAAUAACGGACUUUGUCAAACAAGAUUUCCAGAAAGCACAAAACUGGAAUGAUACACAAUUUGGCAAUCUGAAACAGCAGAAUGUGCAAUUUAGUAUUCGCACUCCAUUUUAACUAACAUUUCAUUGCAUAUUGAAGAACUCAAUUACUGUAUUCACCUGAUAGAAGCCAACAGAGUUCCACAUCAAACUAACAUUCAUGCCAACAAUUGACAGGUUUGCAAAGAAGACAAAUUUUACUAGUUCUGGCAAUGGUAAGUAGGAGGGCUGAAUAUAUCCCAACCAUUGCAUUACUAAUGUCAUCAAGGUUGUGGUUGCAAAAUGUAGCCCAGUUAAUGUAGUAGCUGUACAAUCAAACCAUAGCACACAACAUCAGUACAAGAAAUCUGAUUUCUUUUGCUGCAUAAUCAUAGUUUAGCUCUAGAGCGAAGUGAUAACACAGGGAAUGGCAUCAAAACAAAAAUGAAUAUUAAACCAUUGUCUCACCAAAACUAAAACCAUGUGUAGCCAUUAAGGCCUUGUUGACCAUGAUUAUACCCACUGAUGUUACAACAUUGAACAUCCAUGCUCCAGCAUCUAUUGCUGCUUUUCUCUCGGCCUUGCUUCCUGCUGCCAUACUUUCUUUUCAUGUAGGGUCUGAACCAAUUUUCAAAGUAGCAGAAAGUGCACCUUCAAUACAAACCGUAAUCAAGAAAUAAGUACAAGUCAGCAUUCCAAAAUAAUCUACUCCCUCCGUCCAACAAAGGAUGUCUCAACUUUGACCAAAUUUGAAUGCAUCUAUGCACUAAGUCAUGUCUAGGUACAUCCAAAUUUUGACAAACUUGAGACAUCUUUUGUUGGACGGAGGAAGUAGAAGUCUUAAAUUUUGCUUUGGCAGAGUUAGCAAUCAGUAAAGAACUGUUCCAUAAACUGAAUGCACAUAUAGUAGCACAAAUGGAUAUAACUGAUGUAAAUUUCAAAUAUUGGUGACUGAAUAAGAUACAAAAUUCAAGCACGAGAGAACUUCUGAAAAGCUUAACACAUGGAAUUCGUACGAAUAAGCACCAACAAUUAUUCAUUCAAGACUAUACAUUCUGUCCUAGCUGGAUCUGCAAUUUUGUACCUUCCCCCUAAAUUGAAAGACAUGUUAACGAAUUCGAACGGAGCUAAAAGAUAAGUGCACAGGGGAUAAAUUCGAGGAUAGAUCAAACAUGGAAACUAAUGUAAUACCGCUAGCAAUCUCUGCAUUUAUGCUCGGAGGACCCAGUAGGGCAAGGUAGGGCGGCCGCCCUACCUUGAUUUUUGCCUCAGACACGAAUUAGGAGAGAUUAAGGAGAUAAUACGGGGAGAUACAGAGCAGAAUCAAUUCUUGGGGUGAUGGGAGGAGAAACGGUCGGGAGCGAUAGAAUCGAAAGGGAGAUCAACCGGCGGCGGCGCUUGCGCUACUGGAAUCCAGUCGUGCGCGAGGAGGGAGACGAGCGAGGGGGGUGGGGCGCUCCGCAGCAGAUGACCAGACGGUCCCAGACCCAGAAGGAGGGACGGGUGAAGGGAAAGACAAAAAGAGAGAUACGGAGUAGUUUAUGUUUUUUCAGAAACAUAUGGCUUAAUAAACAGAGAGAAAACUGAAACAUAAACAGAUACUCGUGAUCUCAUGCUCCUUCCAUCCAACAAAAGAUGUGUCAAGUUUGUUAAAAUUUGGAUGCAUUUAGAUAUGACUUAGUGUAUAAAUGCAUUCAAAUUUGGUCAAAGGACGGAGGGAGUAUGAGAUCACGAGUAGGUUUGGAUUUUUCUUUUCUUUCUGAAACAAGCUUCAAGAUAGGUUUGGUGCGGAGCUUACUUCACAAAACCCACCAACCACUCGGCACUCUGCAGUCUACAUGCAUUACACGAUCGUAGUAAUAUCUUGCCUUCCAACCGAGAUGUCAUCCUCUCCCCAGGUGCAAUACUCCAAAAUCUGAUGAUAAAUUCUGCAACAAGUUUUGCAUUGUCAGAGAAUUUAGAAAAAUAUCUCGCAUGUCAAUGCCCAAGUCUUUCAACUUUGGAGGAUCUUCUGAGUACUACUGUCUCAACCCAAGCAUUUAAGGAAAGCUUGUAGCACUGAAUAAGUACAGUUGGUUCGGUACGGCAAAAUGCUUAAAUCCCUUAAACACUGGCAGGAGUAAUGCACAAGAUUGCAGAUCACAGAUAGCCAGAUAUGUAAACGGUAAAUUAAACUGAUUGUCUUGCGGUGCCAAAGCGAUGACCUUUUCUCCUUUAAUCAAGUCAGAUUUAUCAUUUAUGUUGUGCUGCACAUCUCUCGUGUGCAGUGCAGGACAGACAACUUAUGGCCAGUUCCUUCGCUUCCGAGACAAUGAACUGACGGCAUGUAAGAUUCGGCGCCUUGGUCUUAAACAUCUAAAGUUGACAGCAUCUUUUGACCAAAUUGUCUCCAUUAGCCUACGAACCAUGAUCCCAGUGCCGCCACGUCGAUUUCCCAGGAAGAAAACUAGUCAAUUAAUAUGCUAUUGGAAUAGGUAGUUCAGGUUGCUCUUCACAGGCUCCACAGCAACAAGAAUUUAGUAGCACUACUCAUGUAGAUACCAAAGAAACAGAGGCACAAAAGUGUACUUCAGGGGAGAUAAAGCUUAGGAGGAAGGAGAGCACUUCCUUUCCGGCCGUGGGGUCGUGUAGUACUGUGGUUGGACAGAACUUAACAGCCCAACCGCUUGAGUUGGGAGAAUUUUGGCUUUGAGCUUGACACCAUGCCUUCUUCCCUCGACCCAGCGCCUUCUCUCCGCUGCCCGCCUUGCAGAGAGAACCACUCGCGCUGCAAGCUUUCCUCUGUUCGCUCCGACCCCUCAACGCGCCGAUUAAACUGCCUACACCUUCACCUUAUUGCCAACAAGAUUGUGGGCUGGAGAAUGGAGAUAGAGUGCCGGGAGUGUUCUUCCCUUCACUAGCUGGUUGUCUACUUGUCUUAGGCAUCUGUGGUAUAUCACGGAUUUAAGCUGCUUAUCCAGGUUGGUACUGGAGUAUGUUCGUUACCUCUGUUUUGUAUGAUUGCAUCAAUUUUCGGCUUCUUUGCAUUUGGUUUAUUUUCUGCAACUUCAUUAUCUAUCCAGUUUUGCAAGUGUUCUAUUCACAAACUUCAGUUCAAACAGUCUGACAGGUCAGCAUAGCGAAUUCUAAGUGUUUUACGUAACAAAGUCCAUUCUUCGCCCUCUAUACAUCAACAAUUACCAAAGUAUAGGUUUCCUGACUCGCUCUACUUUAGAACCCAAAAUAACAUAUCCUCAAGCGCAUAAAUAAUCCUCAGACCAAUUCAAAUCAGUUUUGACCGGAGAAAGUUUUAAAGAUUACCUAGUUUUGAAUACCAUGGAAAGUGCAAACUCAAACAAAGUCUGUGGUGGUCAAUGAAAUAAAAUAAAAUAAAAUAUGGAGCAAGUGAAAGGAUGUAUCACAUGUGGGCCCAUCCAUAUUAUUUUCAUUUAUUUAGUUAUUUUGAAAGCAAUGCGGUCGUGAUAUGGUGGGCAAUUGGUGUCACGUUGGUAAAACCGGGUUUUGGCAAUAGUCGAUAUGUGCAAUACUUUUCCAUAUGAAACGAAUAUACAACUUUGGCAACAACGAUUUGAUUUAUAGGUAAAAAAAACUUUAUACUUUCACUCAACAGCCGGUGUUUCUGAAAAUAAGCUCAAGUUAAGCAAUUGGGAUGUUGAGUUGCAUCUAACAAAUGCUAAUGAUGGUUGCUUUAGAAUUCUCUAAUCUUUUUUCAGAAAAGCACAGAAAUAGAGACACACCAACUUUCUGAGAUUACUUGGUUUUAUGGCAAUUCUAGAUGUAUGAUGCCCAAUUCCCUGUUAUAAAGGAAUAGUAACUCUAAAUUAAAUGACCAAUCCCAAAUUUUGCAAAAUGUCCUCUUGGACCCUUUAACUACAAAGUCACCCUUCAAAUACUUAGUUCCCUAAAAAUCUAACUUCUUCGAUGUCAAUAACAAAUAUCAUUCCCUAUUCAAUAUACCAAAUUAUCAAGUCAUGUAAGUCCUUAUAGAAAAAAAAGAGUUCCGAAUCAGCUCAAGGUGUAUCUUGAUUUAUCUUUUUUACAGCUAUGCGUGCAUUAGUGAUCCAACUGUUUAGCAGAUCUUUUGGAAAGUUCAAGCAGAAAAAUUGGAGACUUUUUUACUCUUAUAAAAGGUUUAGUUGGUAGUGCAGUGGUCAUUACCUUCGGAUCGUGUUAUUUUUCUUGCAUCAUUUGUUAAUUUGUCACAAAUCAUUAAUAUUAAAACGAAUAUGAAUUGUAUUGCCCUAAAAAUGAUUUGUAUGACUUAACAUAACAGAACAUAAAUAUAAUAUUUUCUUUAAUAUGUAUUUUUUGUUUAGUCCUUAACAACGCAAAGGUUCCUGGUAGAGUGAUAGUGUUCGGUAAGAACUAAGAACCGUACUUGUCCAUUUGAAUCAUUUUUUUAUUUUGUAUUUUUGGAGAAUCAAACGGGCAGGUUGUCACAUGACGAAUUAAGGUGGAUAAGACAUGAGAGUGACAAGCUAAGACAGUUGCUCUGACGAAGAGUGAUCGGUGAUACAUCUCGAGGGAAGGACUAGGAAGCACACAGGAACAAAUGGCCGAAAUGGAGGACGCCUUGAGAUCGUGCAUGGAGCAGCUGCUGAUCGCGAGAGAAGAGCGGGAGCAAAUCAUCGUGGAAGCAGCCAGCGAGAUAUCCGCCCAGCAAAAGAAAGCACGCGACCUGCAGCACAGCCUCGACUCCGCGAACAGGAAGGCCGCGAAGCUCGCCGCCGAGAACAGCGGCCUCUGCAAGGCCAUGGACGCCAAGGACAAGCUGGCCAGGGAGCUCAGGGAAUCCAAGGCAGCCUCGGACGAGAAGGCCGCGAAGCUCGACGCGACGCAGAAGCAGGUCGCGUCGCUGCAGUACGAGGCCCGGAUGCUCCAGAAGGCGCUGGAGGUGCGGAGCCAGGAGCGGGAGUACGACCUCAAGUCCGUGGACGCCGCCCGCGCGCAGCAGGCGGAGAGCGCGAAGAAGAUCGCGCUGCUGGAAGCCGAGUGCCAGCGGCUGCGGGCCAUGGUCCGGAAAAGGCUUCCCGGGCCGGCGGCCUUGGCCCAGAUGAGAGACGAGGUCGAGCCGCAGCAGCAGACCGGGCCCGGGCCCAGGGCCAGCCCAAGAAGACAACGGUCCGCCAUGCCGAUGACGCCGCGGCGUGCUCCGGAGCCUGAUUUUCAGAGUUACGCAGUCAGGUUACGCGCCGUGGAGGACGAGAACAAGGCCCUGAAGCGGGUGCUGGCCACGAGGGACGCCGAGCUGGAGAUCGUGCAGAUGAAGUACGCCGACGAGGCUCGCGAGCUCUCGGCGGUGAAGGGGCAGCUCCUGGAGUUGACGGAGGAGAGUGAACGGCUGAUGAGCGAUGCUCAAGCGAAUGCGAAGUCACAGUCGUGGGCCUCUGCUUUAGUCUCUGAACUGGACCAUUUCAGGGCCGGGAAGCAGGGACAGGGAGCAGCGUCAUCCGUUUUGGUGUCUGAGUCUGACAUGAGCUUGUUCGACGAUUUUGCUGAGGUUGAGAGGUUGGAGAUGGCAUCAGGCGAUCAUCAAACAUUGUCGGGACCUUCCGGUGUGCCGCGGCAAGAUGCGCAGAACAAGGCAGAUUCAAGAUCGGUUGUUCCAGAGAAAAAUGGCAAGGAGCUCGUCCUAGAUGGCCCUGUGUCCAAUGGCCAUCCUGAAUGGGUGCAGGAUGUUUGGAAACUCGUCACGCGUAAGCAUGAAGCAAGCGGAGAAAGCAUCGACGCCAUUCUUGAGGAAAUAGCUCGUGCAUUGGAGCAGAGCCAUGUUCAUGCGAAAGGAGAUGAUUCUGAUGUGCUGUAUGACAGGACCAAAGUGGAAAAAAUGAUGAGCAAUCUGGUUGAAAAAAUGACUGUCGUUAUUCGCGUUCCCGAGGAAGACAAUGCUGCAAGAUUUGGAUCAUCGCUGCACGAAAAGUCUGAAUUUCGUGCACGCCUCGAGUACCUGAUUCAUGUCUGUCAUGAUGUGCUACAGAGGAAAGCCAAGCUUGAAGAUUUCAUUGACGAGGUUUGCCUGGUACUGGAGCAUAUAGUGAGUCAGUACUUCUCAAGCCAAGUUCGACUGGGUGCGGUGGAAAAUAAUGCAAAGAGUUUUGAUGGAGCGGAGUCGCUAAGUACAGUCAAUACACAUGGUGAACAUGACACGCAGAGUGUAAUAUCAGCAGCAGCUCCAGAUGUCCAAACAGAAGCACAUACAGAACCAAUUCAGUCAUCAGAAGGUCAGCUUCCUGAUAAAAUUCAAGAGAGACGUCCUAAUGAAGAACUUGCAAUAGUUGUAGUUGAUCAGGAUGAUGAUAUUCAGCCAGGGAGGAUGUCAUCAUACUAUGAGAUAGAAAGGUACGUAGUAACUAAUGAGGCAACUACAUCCACUAAAAAUAUUACUUACAUUCAGUAAUUUCAAUUAUGAUAUCUAUUCUUCCGCAAUGCAGAUCCAGUCAUGAUGGAAGAGGAGAAGGCUUGGCACAACAAGAGGGAAAACAACUAGCAACAGUAAGUUUCAUGCUGCUCCUAUAAUUUUUUUUGAGUAAAAGCAACAAGAACAAAAAAACAUUCUGACAUAACCUUUUUUUAACCUGAUAUGUUCAUUUCACCCCUUUCUCAUUUUAUGUAAACGUUAUCUGAUAUGUUCAUUUCACCAUUUGAUCUUUUGACCUAUAUCACCAUCAGGAGUAAACUGAACAAUAUUUUGCCCUUCAAUGCAGAACUCAGAAAUAUCAGCAGCAGCUGACAAGCUUGCAGAGUGGCAGGAGACCAUCACAAGCCUAAGCAAACAGUUGCAGGCUCUUCAGAGCAUGCCGAAUUCAGGACAUCUAGAUCACCCGGUGUACAGCCCCAGACCAAGCUCGGUCGACUACAAGCCCAAGACACUCGGCAGCAUCCUCGCUGACGAGGGCACCAGCACAACCCAGGGUUCCAAUUCUCCUACGCCCGAACAAGCGCACUCCAUGGAAGAACAUGGCGAGCCUGACGCUGCAGCACGAAAGAGUGUGGCAGGAGAGCAGAAUCCUGAUGCCGCCAGUAACGGCGACGGCGAUGAGCCUACGCAGAUUGUUGUCUAUCAUCCAGUGUUGCCGGAGCUGCGGCAUGAUGGGGUUCCUGCUGAUCCUAAGAAGAAGAAGCGGGGUCCGAGCUUGCUGGGCAGGAUGAUAUUCAGGAAGAAAGUGGAAGGCAGCUCGUAGAUUGUGUUGUGUUGGCGGAUAUAUACUGUGGUGGUAUGAGCGUGAGAUCUGACUAGUGCUAGUGUCAUGCGACCAGCAAUUUGGAGCUCUGCAUUCCUGCUCCUGGUCUGCGUCCUUUUCGGCCAUAUAUUCUGUUGCAGAACCUGAAGACUGAGAAACUCUAGCACUUGCCCUGCCCCUGUAUCGUUUUUUGUUGACAUGAACAUGUUUUUCGUUGUGUAUUUAUGGAUUGCGUGGUUAUGUAAGUUAUUGUUGAAUAAAGUAAAUCAAUAAAAAACAGUAAAAACAGUAUGCAGUUGUUUGCUACAUUUUAAAACUCAGUUGCUAAUAUACACAAAUUAUUUGAGUUUAUCAAGGGCAAAUGCUAUUGAUAGAUUUAUCAUCAAAAGUAUUUCCAUGUCAUUCUUUAUUUUAAUAUCUAAAUAUAAAAUAGUAAUGAACACAUGGAUAAAUAAGAGAUGGUAUCAAUGUAAAAAAACCAAAUAAAAAAGAAAGGAGUUAGCCUGCAUUUAGGACCGAUUUGUUUAGUUAGAAAUUGGACCUUUAUUACUGAAAAGGAGAGAGUAUUAACAGGACAACUAAAGCAAGCUUUGACAAUUCAUACUCCCUCGGUUCCAAAAUACAAGACACAUAUAAUUUUUUGUUGACCGCCAAGCUUGUUAAAGUUUGAACAAUUUAUAGAGAAUACGAACAACAAUUAAAGUUCCAUAUCAAGAUCACUAGAUUUAGCAUGAAAUAUAUUUUCAUACUGUAUUUAUUGAAAAUAGUACAUGUUAACAUUUUUUUUUAUGUAUAGUUUGAUCGAAGUCUAGAAAAUUUGACCAUUAACAAUGUUAUACCUAUAUUUUGGAACAAAGGGAGUAAUAUUUGAAUAUUACUGAAGUUAAAAAAAGAUAAACUCAGACACACUUUAUUACCGAUGUCUCAUCACAAACUCCGUACUACAGUAACCAUUCAGGUUAGAAAGCACAUUCUGAAUUGAGUUCUUCUGAGUUUGACAACAUUCAGAACUGUGGUUGAAACCAUUACAAACUGAGAGGCAAGCUGAAGCAUUGAUAUCCCUGUUGGUAUAAUUUCAGCUACGGAAUGCAAAAGCAUCUCAAGAUUCUUUAGGUACGGUAAGGUGUCAGCAAGUGCUCAUCCCAAGAAAGGAUCACUCUCACAUGAAGGUGAUCCUCUGACUUCCAUUACUUAAAGCAAUUGAAUAAUUCUACUCCGUACGAUCAUGUCGUUGGUGAUACAUGCUUAUCCUACAUACAUCAUGAUUGGCCACCCAAGCUGAUCUCGGCAAAAAAGAAAAGAAAAUAAAGAGAAGCCUAAUUGGCCUGGAUCUCACCUUCUACCAGCAACGACGUCCCGUCCAAGUUACAGAGGACGGACGGCCAUAUUCUAAAGGCGGCUGAGCGGACAGAAUGCAACGCCACUGGGUUCCCAGACACUGACCGGUCGCAAACUAAAAGGAAGAUCAGCAUCUGCCUGGUGCUGUAGAAUACAAAAAGGACACCACUGCAUCCGCGUGCAAUAGCAAAUUCGCAGCACUGUUAGUAUAUCGCCUGCGCCUUGAUGUCACUGGUGAUAUUUGAAUUAUCAUCGUUCCGGCAGAUCGGAUAGGUCCCAUCCGGAGUUGCUCCAGUGACGCCUGGGACGGCAAGACCUUUUGGCUUUGUCCCUUUCCGUCUUUGAUUAUCUCCUGAUUUAAUUUGAAGAGACUGACGGCAACUGAUUGUCACUUCUCCAGGUCUGCUGUACUCUCUGAUCUGUACUCUACUUCUUUUUGGCUGGAUACCGUCAUUCGGCAGCUAGCAUAGCCCAGGUUUCUUUUCUCGGGAAUCCUUGCGCUACGAGGAGCCAAAUGGCACAACUUGGGGAAUGGUUCGGAUGCUUUUCCGUCGGCUUUGGUUUGGUGGUAGACCUGGAGUAAAUCCGGCGGUUCCUCCGCCACAUGGUUGGUUCUGUUGAUAGGCGUGAUCCGUGAGGAUGCUUGCACUCCGGCUUAUCCAAAUUCCCAUUUCUCAAAUUCUUUCCGUGCCGUGAUUUUUCUGUCGUGACACCAAAACAUUCCACGCCUUUAAUGCAAGCUCGCGCUUGACGAGUCCACGUACUGCAACAAAAAUAAAAGAAAAGACCAUGGACAAUGCUUAAACGCCUUUCAUUUUCAAGUAUCAUGGUGGGCAUUGAAAGUUAGACAUUUGUACCUGAAAAUUGGGCUCGAGCUAAAGUUUAGAAUGCUUCAAAAAUUAUAUAUUUCAGCCAACUUUUCACAAAUCAGAAAAAUAUUUACUAAUUCAAAAAUCUCUAGCUACUGUCCACAGUAAAAACGUGGAAAAUUCAGUCAAAUUUUUGCAUAUCUUGUCAAUGUGUGCCGUUGAAAUUUUGGGACACCAAUACACGUUGCAUCUUCCACUGAUGUAUCAAUCGGUAGCACUGAACUGGAGCUUUGUAGUAAUAAGACCAAGUUUAGCCAUGUAAAUGUGUAUCAUGUGGAAAAUUACUUUCCAAUUAAAGCGUUUUCCCGCACCUUGCCUUGCUCCCCUUUAUUCCAAAUUCUACGUACUUACAGAAGCUAUUUAGAGUUAGUAUUUACAACCUCAAAAGAAAAGUAAAAAAGGUUGAAAGUGGAAAAGAGAGGACGAAUCAUAAGCUCAUCAUAUAAGACAAGCUUUCAAUCCUUUCGAUCUACUAGUUCCACUUUUCACAGCAUCUAGAUAAACAAACAGGGAGAAGAUCCAACGACGGCCAUGGAAAAACCUGCAUCUCCUGCGGUGUCCUAACUCCUAAGCACGUGUCAGCAUCGGCAUCACCGUUGGCCAUUAAUGCCGCUAAUUCCUGCUUGACCAACGAGCCACCUGCCGCUAUCCGUUUCGUGUCUCAAUCUCGCAAUGAGAUCUCGAAGAGGUCGGAAUCGGGCUCGAGGUCGCCGGCCGCCGAGGCGCUGUCCUUCCUGCUCCUGCUGACCCGCGAGGUCUCCGUCCAGCCGGAGGAGUCGACGCGGCCCAUGGAGAAGAGGUCGCCGCUGUCGUCGAAGUCGAGGCCGCCGCCCAUGGAGCCGCUCCGGCCGUCACCCGAGGACGCGGAGCGCACGAAGCACGGGUUGGGCGUGCGGCGCGCGUUGGCCGCCGCGUACCGGAACUUGCUCUGCCCGAGGUUGACCAGCGCCAUCACGUCGAAGCUGGACGCCAUGGCCGGGUACAGCGGGCAGGAGAAGGCGUCGGCGUUGCAGCUCACCGCGUGCGCCAGCUGCCCGUCCACCGUGAAGAACACCUUCCGCUUCGCCGGGUCGAAGCCGCAGCCCACCACCUUGUCCACCCCCGCCCACGACGAUUUCGCCGAUUCGUACGCGAGCUUCAUCCCUGAACAAAAUCAAAAAAACUCUUCAGUUCAUGGAACCGUCGUGGCAACGCUAGAAUUUCUCCUCGAAACAGAGUGCGCUUAAUUAUUACCGUCGAGGUAGACGGCGCCGUUGGAGUGGAAGCCGAUGGAGGACGCGUAAGUCCCGGCCAACGACGGCCGAGACGGCGACCCAGCGGCGAGGCCCAGCGACAUGACCAAGUGCCUCUGCUUGUGGUCUCGCCGAUCGUCGUCUUUCGUGGCUCUGCUUUCUUGGACCGUGUCCUUGGUGUUGGUAAUAUCCGGUGCGAAACUGAUGAGCUUGAUGCGGUCGCUCUCGACGGAGCCGUCCUGCUGCGCACGCCUGCUCCCCGCCCGAGACGCCGACGACCACUCCGGACGCCGCGUGUUGAGGUAUAUGAUGGUGAUCUCGAAGUAGGCUUCCUGCGGGAACGGCGCGCCGGCCAUGGGCGGGCCGGGGAGCGGCAUGCUCAUCCUGGCGACGCACAGCGCGUUGUUGCUGCUGUUGUUUGUCAGAUCCUGGUGGUCGCUAGUGCGGAGGGGGCUCGUGAUGCUUCCAGGAAGCCACUUCUUGCCUGACGCCGCGGACGCAGCGGACGCGGCCGCCGGGUUGAGCCGCACGGCCUGGAGCCGCUCGGACGAGCCCGCGGGCACCUCCCACGCGGCCUGGUCGGCCAUGUCGCGGCUGGCCCCGGCGUCGCAGACCGGGCAGAGCCCCCAGAGCGGCGACGACGACGCGGACGUGGACUUGGCCCGGGACACGGAGAACACGAACUGCGCCCACCCGUUCUCCGCCGCCUCGAUCACCAGCCGCGGGUGGUCGCCCCACUGGAACGGCCCUUGCUGCUGCUGCUGCUGUCCUCGGUGCCUCGAGGCAUGGUGCUGGUGGUGCAGCUGCUGGAACCGGACGCCCACGCGGCCGCUGCUGGCGUUGUACUUGGCGUUCAGCUUCGCCAGCCCGGGGCUCGCCGACAGGUCCGCCGCGUGGCCGCCGCCGGCUCCGCCGCUCGCCACCGGUAGCUCCGGCGGCGCGUUGCGCGGCGAGCGCUGCUGGAGCCGGUACACGAAGAACGCGGCCGCGACCAGCGCCGCGACGGGCAGGGCCACGCCCAGGAGCAGCGUCCAUAGCGCCAUGUAUAUAUACGCGCUACUGCUACUGGUACUGGGGGAACCGGAGCCGCGCCUGCUGCGAGGUGGACAUGGAGAACAUGAACGUGAUGGCCGAUCUCUGCUGGGGUUUCGGGGCGCGGGUUUGGGUGGAUUCUGUUCUGUUUUUGUGCGUGUCGCGGAAUGCAGCUGAGUUCUUGGGAUGGGAGCGGGGGAUUUGGGGGUUGGUCUUGCUAGGCCGGCGGGGGAGGAAAAACUUGACCGCCUCAACGGAACAAGCCAACGGAUUGAAUUGAGGGCAGCCGGGGAACACUUGUAAAUUGCGUCACAGCGGCAACGGCGCUGGCUUGCUUGCUAAACGGGUUCUGCGACGGGUAAAUCGGCACGUCAUGCCCUGUUUUUGCAUUCUUUCUUUUUCUUUCUUUCUUUCUUUCUUUCGGUUUUGCUGUUAGGUUGUUGAUGUGAUAUGUGAAUGUUUUUACAUGUGUUCCAACUUCCAAACCUCCAGACUGUUGAGUGCAAAGUACUUUUCUUUCGACCUAUAAAGGGUAGCAAGCAACAACGUUUUUUAUUUUAUUUUGAGAGAAGCAACAACGAUUUUGCAUUCGAAUAAGAUUAUUUUUGGUUAUUUCAGUUUUCAGUGAGAUUUUGUAAACCGAGAUGUUAACACUCGCCGUGCGCAUUAAAUUAGAAACCUGCCCCGCCCUCCAUUGCUGCCCGCCUAAUUAGUGAAGUUUAUUUAUUUUGAUUCAGCUUGACUGGAUGCAGCAGUGGUUGAAGGACGCAUACGUAGUCAAAUAUCUGCUGCGACAUUAAUCAGAAACGGUCUGCCCUCGUUGCCUUGCCUAGUGAAGUUUAGUCAGCUUUGAUAUAUGCAUCAUCCAUUUAAAAAAUUGUUUUGAGGUAUAUGUAGAAUUGCAAUCUGUACUCAUUAACAAAUGUAUUCACCCACCAGAUCUGCGUCAUUGAAGAGGGGUUGGUCAGUUACUAUCACUGUCGUAGUCACUAGGAUAAGCUAAAUGAUCUUAGUCUACCAAGUACUCCUACCAACGGAAGAGCUCAAAGCGUAACUUUCACCUACCUCUCUUAUUUCUCGAAUACUCCUUCCGUUUGGGUUUAUAAGGCUCUUAUCGAAAUUCUUGUCACACUUUGACAAACAAUUAUUCAAAUCAUAUUUAAAUUUAAUGUCCAGAAGAGAAAUUUCAGAGUAACUAUAACAAGUAGGAGAAUAAUCGUUUGCACAUGUAUUCUAGAAGCAAUGUAUAUUCUCGUAUUUAAAUCUUUUCUUCUGCGGGCACUUAUUUAAAUCAUUUUGUCGGUCCUGUCACCUUGUUUGUAGUAUUAUGAUGGGUGUGCAAUGUGCCAUGUAACAUUUGGAUGUGAAAAUAUGCCGAGAGACUUAAAUAAUAUUCAGAAAUAUUUGAACUUUUCCCCAAACUUAUAAUCUCAAGUUACCAAAGGACUAAUCAAUGUAUUUCAUUUACAUUUUUCAACCCAGAAGUGACUUGUAAAUUCUCUAUGUUUUUUCCCUAUAAUCCAAAGAGCCCUUUGAUUCCAUUCUCGGUGUUUUAGUGGUUUAUUAAGAGGCACAAAAAACGGGUGGAUGUAACAGAAGCACAGAACACGUGAGAACAUGAGAUACCAAAUCCUAAGAAAAGUAUAUGUUCCUUUUCUAAUGUCGGUGUCGCAACUAACGUCAGAAAUGCAGGUCUAAGUGGUUCGGGUUAGCACUCCUUGACCUUUUUGUGAUUCCCUGCUUCUCUGCUUGAGUGAGUAAUCAAUAGGAAUGCAGUUUCUGCAUUACAGUACGGAAUAAUGGAAAGGGUAUGUGUUAAGAGUCCGUAUCGACCAUAGUACUACGUACUGUGGGGCUGACGAUGGGCCUGGUGGCAAACUGAAGAAGAUUACAGCAAAGCCAUAUUGAAAUUAUUCUAGAUAAAUAAAACUGUUUUCAUUUUGGAGAAAUAGUAUUGCCUGCUGUAUAGUAGAAACUUGCAUAUGGAUAGUAGCUCAAGUACGUCCCUUCAUCGACAUAUUUAAAUUGCAUCGACUCGAGGUUGACCAUGAAGACGCCGCUCUCAUCCGUGUCCACAAUAAUCACGUUGCUGUCCUCAUCAAAACCCCGGAUCAUAGGUUUCUCCAUCCAAGAUCGUAGCUCAAGGAGCUUGCCCAGAUCGACUGUAUUCUGAAGCACCCAUGUGGCAGUUCCAUCACAAUCCCAUAGUUCCAUGUUUCAUCCCUGUCAAGAUGGCAAGGGACAAAGGGCCUAAAGAGCCCAGCCCCCGCGUCGUCCUCCCCGGGCGACUCGGGGGAACCCUAGCCGCCGCCGGCCCUUGAGGCCCUGUCCCCUUCCUCCCCCACCUCGCCGCCACCGGAGGGGGCGCCGGCGAAGCCGUGCACCUCCGGGGAAGGUGGCGGCGGGGCGUUUCUUCUCUCUCUCUCUCUCUCUCUCUCUCUCUCGGCGCCCUCCAGAUCCGGGUUGCGAUGGAGGCGAGGCGCGGGCGUGGUCGCUGUGAGGGCGCGCGGCGGAGGCCCGGCGGGCGAGUCUGCGGUGGCGGCGCGCGGCGGUGAUCCGGCAGGCGUGGUCGUGGUGGGGACGCGCGGCGGAGGACCGGCAGGCGAGUCCGCGGUGGCGGCGCGCGGCGGUGAUCCGGCAGGCGUGGUCGUGGUGGGGACGCGCGGCGGAGGACCGGCAGGCGAGUCCGCGGUGGCGGCGCGCGGUGCUUGUGGGGAGGCGCGCGAUGCUCCUUUGAUCUGUGGGGCUGCGGCCGGCUACGCGCGGCGGCCGCCGAUCUGCAGGGGCUGCGCGGGGUGGCCGUCGGUGUGGCUCGAUCUGGGGGUGGAAGCACCAGAUCCGGGGCGGGUGGUGCUGGAUCCGGUUGGCCGCGUGGCUGAUUUGCGGUGGGAUGCGUGGAGGCCGCCGUCCGCAAUGCGGCGGGCCCAUUCUGGGCCUGGCGGGCCAUGGCCAUGCCGUCCUGUUCCGCUAAUUGUGUGGCCAGGAUGGUGGGGCCUGAUCCGGUGCGGGGGGCGGUCGCGGAGUCCUGGCCGGUGCCCGGUGGUGGUUUGGCGCGUGGCAUUCGGCGAGCUUCGCCGGCGCUCGCGGUGGUGAGGUGUCCUCUUGUCAAACUCGGCUAUUCGCUCCUGUCCGUGGUGGUUUUGGCGGCUGCGGGUGAAAACCCUGCAUCGACGUGGUCGGUGCCGGCGACGACGGCGUCCUCGGACGUCGCUUCCUUCUUGAAGGCGUCGUUGCGCAGCUUCGCCACUUACCACCCUUCGCAAACGAGGUGACUCCGAGCGAAAGCUCUGAUCCGGUUUUCGGGUCGGGCAACGGCGACGUCCUCGGACGCCGCGCCCUUCUUGGAGGCGUUGCCUUUGGAGAUCUCGUUUGGCGGCGGAGUUUGCUUGCUAUGGUCCUGGCCAAGGAGGACAACUCCGUGCUACACGGGCUUGCCGAUGUGCGAGCCGUUCCGUCGGGACAACCUCUUCUGGCUCCGGUCGUCGAAGGAGCCCCGCUCUGCCUACCUUCUUCUGGCGCAAGGAGCCGUUCCCUGUUCGGCGUCAUUGGAGCGGAGGAGGUAUUCGUCUUUGCGGUAGCGGCUUGUUUUUUCGGUUCCUGUGUAUGCUCUUUGUCAGGGUUUUCCACACGGCUUUCCUUGAAUAAGCCGUGUAUUUGUAUCGGUUUUUGGGUCCGGUUUCCCUCAUAAAUAGGGCCAACUUUAUUCUUCUAAUCGAAUCACGUGGAUCGACCGUUUCGUCUAAAAUAAAAAAAGAUGGUAAGGCCAAGCCUGGUUUCCUCUGUCCGUAGUACCUGAAGGUAUGACCUUUUGGGGAUAGCAUGGGAGUUGGCUGGCUUCUCAAUCACAUCUAGACUCUGUCUUUUAAGAUCAAACGCAAGGACACUGUCAUCUAACAGCAUCCAGUAGAGUGCAUUGCCAACGAGGAUUCCAGGCCUGAUCGGGUUAACCAUAUCUGAAACCUCUGUUGAGAUGAUAUCCCCCCAAACAGCAGAGUUCGAUUCAUAGAGGCAAGCGGAUGCUUCUGUGCGGUCGUCGCUGUUCCGCAGCAAGACCAAUUUGAAAGGGCUCGAGUGGCAGCCGCCGCCAUGCACGUGGCCUCUGUUGGUGGCAGCGCAAACCACGGCGGCGUUGCGGACCAGAUUUCCUUUGUCGUUGCCGAACUCCGGUGGAAAAGGUACGGCACGCUGGUGGCCAGUGGCAGGGUCCCACACGACUGCCUCGAGCCGCGUCCAGUUGAGGAAGAGAUCGAGGCCGUGGCGGCAGCCUUUCAAGGACCAGCGCUCGUCGCGUGGCGGCGUGAGGGAGAAGGGGAUCCGGUCGGGGGCGUCCAGCAUGGGGAUGAAGUCGACGGCUUCGCCUUGUUGUUUCACGAAGAAGCCGAGGAGUGCCGGUGUCCGGUGGUAGGCGCGGAAGCGGCGCAGGAAGUCAGGGUUGGAGAUGAGACGGCCGCAAGCGCUUGCAGACAGCAGCGGCACGGAUGAGGGAGGACGGCUGCCGAGGGAGGCGGAUUAAGAUAUCCGUGAGAGUGUCGUCGUGGCCGUCCGGCAGGGUCAUCGCCAUGGCUGACCGCAAGUAGCAGUUAACUUUUGAUCUCGAUUGAGCGCAAGUCGCCUGCAACUAAGAUUUCUUUUGCUAGCUAGUACGGAGUACUAUAAAUUGCUUGUGAUACAUGCAACAUGAAGCGGACUCGAGCUCCCAUGUGAUUGAUGUUCUCAAUCUACUUGAUCUCCCAUAUUGGUAUUGCCAUAUACAAUCGUGUACGACAAUGAUUGUUGCUGCGCUUAUGGAUACGUAAUAUUCACCUCGAUAUUCUCUGCCUUUAUAUGCAGGAUAUAUAUACUUUUUGGAUCAUGGAUAGAUCCAUCGCAAUUAGAACGGCUCGAUCUCCAAUUCUCCAUGGCGGCGCUGGAUGAGAUGACUGUGGAGGAACGACGGAGCGACGUGAGGUGGGCCGUGGAAAGGUAUCCGGUCGCGUCGGCGCUGGACCAGCAGCAGCUGGAUGUGGUCAUCGACCGGAUCCUGGAGCAGAGCCACCCGGAGAACCUCCACCGUCGUGAUGGCAGGAGGCCUCGCCAUGAUCUAGCCACCGCGCUGAUCAUCGCAGACCACCUUGGAACCGGGUCGGACGCUCGAGCUAAACGGCUAUUGUGUGCCACGGAUCAGGCCAACCUGCUCACCAAGGGCUACCUCGAGGUCGACGACGACUAUUACGCCAACCAGGCCGACUUCAUUGCGUGGACCGCGGAGGAGUGGAAGAAGGUGUUCCUCCGCGCCGCCGACUUCGGGAUGGCAGACGACGACGCCACGGUGGUUCACCAAGGAUACACGGAACAAGAAGAAGAAGUUGAUGAAGACGAAGAAGUUGAUGAUGGUGUUGACCAGGGAGAGUAUGAGCUGUACUACCGGAUGUGGGUGAAGGUGGUGCUCUCGACGUCCCCCGAGGCCGUGACGCUGGAACCGCACGAGCUGGAGGCGGCCGUCGACAGGAUCCUCGACCCAGCGCCUGCCGAGAUGACUUGCAUGAACAUUGCCGACAUCAGGCUGGUCUUGGCCCACAAGAGUAACGAGCCGGUAGACGAGGACGGCGUGGAGAUGGAGGAGUUCCAGGCCCAGGUUCGCCGGGACUUGAUCGCCACCGGCUACGUCGAGGUCGACCCGGAGUACUGGUCGAUUUGACGUGUUUUUCUUCACAUAAAUAGUUGACGUGUUUAUUUAGGUUUGUUGCUGUUUGAUUUGUUUCUUUGGCGCACAUCUUGACGCCCCUACCUUCGGGAGUUCGGGUCUCGUUUCUUUUUCGUGGAGCUUGUUUCGUUAGGGCAUGUACAAUGGGGUGACGUCAACCUUUUCUUAGCGAUACCAUAUAUGAUAAAAUCUGAUGUGGAAGAGAGAGAAACGAAGAAAAGACACAAGACUUUUCUUAAUUAAGAGAUGAUCUCUUCACAAGAAUGAUAAGGCGAAAAUAAGACAAAUUUGUCAUAGUACUGGAUUUCACCUUUUCUUAGCAUUUAUUUAGUUAAUUUUAUUUAUCUAAACAUUAAUUUUAAGAUAGAACACUAAAAGAUAACUCAUUGUACAACAUGUUUUGUUGUCUUUUCCAAUUGACGUAGAAUGCCUAAGAUAAGACAGUCUUAUCAACCAUUGUACAUGCCUUUAUUGGGUCGCCCGUGCAUCCGCUUAUCCGAUUGGCCCGUUUUGCUUCUUUUCUAUGUCGAAGCCUGACUGCCUUAUUUGAAUUUGUUGUUCUACUCCAUCCGUUCUUAAAUAUAAAAAGUUUUACAUUUUUCUUAAGUAAAAGAGUAAAUUUCACAAAAUCACACUUCUUGGUGUUAGGGUUUCAACGGGCCACAGUUAUGACUAGUAGUCUCACAAAACCACACUUUUUCGGGCAGAUCUUCUCACAGAAUCCAAAUCAGGUAAUUAAGAGCGUUGAGUAAAUUUCACAAAACCACACAUGUUGGGUAGGCUUCUCACGGAGGCACCACUUUUGCUAAUUUGCCAAAAAACCCACACAUUUUGAGUCACGAUGUACCAACAAAUCCGAAAUGACGUGUUUAGCGCAUUGACAGCAUUCCUUAUAGGUCGGGCCCACCUGUCAGGUGACACGUCGGCCGAACCCAACCCGAUAGGCCGGCAACUAUCUAAGGGUAUCAUAAACGGUUGUUUUUCCGGCUGACUUGGACCUUGAUACAGACAGUGUGAUCUGUACCUCAACGGCGUCACGGAGAACUUCGCCAGCUUCGUGCCCCUCUCCGGCACUGUCUCAGCUCUGCACUGCGUUGAGGCAUCGGCUCCUCCCUCCACGACGCACAGGGCCCAUACCAACUAUUCGGACGUCCUCUGCUUUGGCAAUGGUGGUGUCUACAUCUCCGCCCGCCUCGACCACCUCCUCUCGUGGUCGUCCGCCGGCACCUCAACAUUCCGCCACCAGCAAGCCGCCUCCGCAAGCACCAGCAAAUGAGAAGCCCACGGGAAAGCGACGAGGAGUGGGCACACACGUGCUGGCGGUGCUACUAUAGGGGACUUGCGAGUCCAGUGCGUGCUCGCGCGCGCCGCCUUGUGCCGCCACGGCCAAGGCCCUCCCUGUCUCCCUGAGCCGCUCAACCUUGCCCCCGAGCUCCGCCGUGUCUCUAUGCGUCUCCCAGACGAACAAAUCGACCGGAAGGGCAAGGAAUCGACGCCGGCGUGGUCAUCUUCCUCAACUCCGACGCGCCGAACGGGGAGAAGGCAGGCAAGGCGGAGCGCGCGGAGGGGAGUGGCUGCACGCUGAGGUCGCCCGCGCCGCCAGGGCCGAGGCCGCCGUCGCUCUCUCCACCUCCCCCACCUCCACUUGGGUCUCAUGGGUCAACCACUGUGUCCCAAAUUCUCCAUUCACCCAUCCCAAUCGUGCCCCAGCCUAGUCCCCAAUGGUGCUCAUCUUCCGGGCAUGCGAGACCGGCGGCGCGAGGUCCGGCCAACCUAGAUCCAGAACGCGCGAGUCCGGCGGCACCAGAAGGCCUAGGGCGUGGUGGCAGCUCCUCCGUGGCCGUGUCCUUUCUGUACUUGGCCUCCAGCCGGCCGCCGGUCGCGGCCACCUUCUUCUCCGUGGAGGUUGAGGAAGAGCACGGCCAGAGGCAUUGAAGACGACGUUGAACGCCCAGCCGGCCAUCCCGUCAGCAGCCGCUGCCGGCGAAGAGGAACCAAACUUACCGGGCUAACGGGUCAGGUCGGGUUCGUCCGAUGUGUCAUCUGACAUGUCGGCCCGACCUAUAAGGAAUACCGUCAAAUGCGCUAAACACGUCAUUUCGAGCUUGUUGGUACAUCGUGACUCAAAUUGUGUGGUUUUUCGGGCAAAUUAGCAAAAGUGGUACCUCCGUGAGAAGUCUGCCCCAAUAUGUGUGGUUUUGUGAAAUUUACUCAAGAGCGUUUGAUGGUGUUUCUGACAAGUGGGACCCACAUGUCGGAUGCCAUGAUCGAAUCGGAAUUUCCCGGGUAGACAAAGGAGCUUAACGAGGGUGUCGGACAAAAGAUGACGUGGACAAAAAAACGGUUCGACCCGUCCGACCUGGCAUCCGACAUGCGGGUCCCACUUGUCAGAAACACCAUCAAAUGCUCUUAAUUACCUGAUUUGGGUUCUGUGAGAAGAUCUGCCUGAAAAAGUGUGGUUUUGUGAGACUAUUAGUCAUAACUGUGGCCCGUUGAAACCCUAGCCACAAGAAGUGUGGUUUUGUGAAAUUUACUCUAAGUAAAACUUUUUCAAGUUUCAUCAAGUUUAUAGAAAAAUAUAUCAAUAUUUCAAACUUCAAAUUAGUUUUAUUAGAUUUGUUAUUAUAUAUACUUUUAUAGUAUACUCUUUUGAUAUUGUAGAUCUUAGUAGUUUUUUAAAUUUUUUUGAUCAAACUUCAAUUUUGUUUGACUUAGAGCAGUACUUCUUACGUUUAGGAACGGAAAGAGUAUUGUUUAGGUUUUAUCAGUUGCUACUAUAAAUAUUUAUCUUAUUUUAUAUGGUGUUCCAAUUGACAACCUUAUCUAGGCUACAAUCUCUGAUACUGCUCUCUCCAACAGUCUGCACAAGAAAACCGGGUUCACAUUUACGUGGUACCAUCCAUUACUUAAUAAAAUUACAUUACGUGUUAACCAAUAAAAUAAGUAGACACACUAAAAAAUUGCACAAAAGGACAGACACAUUCUGACUAACCUAUCUGCCAAACUGCCACACAUAAGUGAGUGAGACAUGAGACAGUUAAACAUCAGCUAAGAUUCUACUUUAAAAUCCAAAUCUGCAACUAGAUCGUCCUAUUAUAUUGUGUCAAGAUUGAAUCGACAUUUCGUUUCUCUUUUGUCAAACAAUGCCUUGGUUAUAUGUUUUUCAACAGGAGUCUUGUAAAUUCAAGGGAUUGAGUACUUCCACCGAUAUGUAUUAGACUUGGUGCAACUUUAUAUUAAUUUUGUACUAAAUCCGAGACUUAUUAUGGAUCGGAGGAAGGAAGUAUUUAUUAUGAUUUAUACACGAAAAUAUGUGACGGCUAGGCAGGCAGGUACAUCCAGGACAAUCAAAUAUGGAGUACUAUGUUGUGCCGGGGUAAAGUAAGACAAUGAAUAUCAACAAAUUAAUCUACCCGUAAAAAAAUUGGCCCGUCAAAAUAACAACAAAUAUUUUGCACAAAAAACCCAACAAAUCUUCACUUAAUAUGUGUAUACCACUCUUCGUUCAUAACGGACUUUUCGUCUAGCUUUGCUAUUGAUCCAAGCCUUAAGCUUGUCAUCAAAGGCCCACAAAAACCCUGUGAUGAAAUUACGAAAAAAAAAAAAGGAAGGAGGAUCCAGCCCAGGGUUCUCGGGCACUCCUCUCAAGCUGCCCCGUCGUCUCUGGUUUCAUCAUUGGCCGUAGGGCAUGUGAACGGUUUCUCUAGUAUAUUCAUGAAAUGGAGGAAGCCUCGACCUUCUUUUGCCUGGCUUUUCUUCCCGCAUACGAAUUUUCCGUCCAGCGGGUGCAAAAUCUCAAAGCUUUCUGGGCAAAAUGCACACGAAGUCUUCAAGUGACGCGACGACUUAUCUGUUGGUAGAGAAAGACAAAUGCAUAAAUCAGGACUCUUUUUCUUUUUCUUUGAGAGGGCAGGACUCAGGAGGAUGAGAGUCCUCUUUCGGCAUAAUAAGUCCCAACUCGCAGUUAACCAAUCAAGGCCCAAGACGGCAAAUUCAAGAAGACACAUAUAUACAAUGGUAGCUAGCUUACCGAUGAUGGUGCAUGUUUCGACAGUUGGUCUGCAGAGUUGGUAGUCGUAUCGCAGCUCAGCGAAGAAGUGCUCCACGGGGUCGUCAACCUUGUUGGGCCUCUGUUUGCUACUACUGGCGUUCCUCUUGCGAGCCAAGAAGCUGACAUGAACCCAAAUGUUACAUCUGAAACCUACGUACACGGCCAUCAAAGGCUUGACAGGAUCAAACUCCGAACCCUGAAAUUGUCCAAGUAAAAUUUGUUAGUACAGUUUAGAAUACUGAAUUAUCAUGACGCUGCUUUGAUCGAUGCCCACUACCGGAUUGUCGGCGUUGUAACGGCGGAGAGCGUAGUGGACAUGGCAAAUGAUGGAGGCAUCGCGCUCCCUGCAAUCGAUCCAGACCAGACCAAGUAUUGAGGAAUUCGAAAAUUUAAGAUCAACCUAUGAGUUAGCAAGGCGCGCAGUGGAUCGGUAAGGAGAUCGUACUCUUCUGUGCGCCGUCUCCAAUUCUCCCCGCCGUGAGGCGAUUGCAUCCCGCACCCGCACAUGGAGCGUGCCUGGAGUAUCUGAGCCUCGCGGGUCAUGUUGCACGCGUCAGGGGGCAGGGGUUCGUCCUCCUCUGGAAUAACCCGCUCCAUCGACUGCCGCGAUCCCAUCGUUGUCGUUGGGCGCAAGCGUCUUUUAUUAGCCUGUUCUUGGGAGCUGGCGGCUAGCGCAGGGCGCAAGUACUCUGGGUCAGAUCUGCAGGAAGAAUAGCCUCCAGUAUGCCGUGCGUGUAUAUAGAGAAGCAGGAACGUCUGCGAUCCGAUAGCAAUUCGAUUAGGCCUAUGUACGCUAGGUCACGAUGCCACCAGAACGACCGAAUCCUAUGGUGAGUCGGACCCUGGGUCCACAACCACAACUGAAACUAAACCAGUCGUCUGAGAUUAAAAAACAAUGGGCUAUUCGUUCUGGAAAGAAAAGAGACCAGGAUAGAAAAGAAAAUAUAAGUUAGCCAGGCAAGAACAAAUUAAUUAACCUAUAGGAUGUGUCGCGACUCCUGAUAAUGUGAGGUUUUGGUGUGGCAUAAGUAAUCAACUUACUAGUACAAUGCCCCGUGCGUUGCAACGGAAUAAUAAAAUUAAACACAUAAACAAGUUGUGCACAUAUACGGUGCCGGUGUGCUUGCUUCCCAUAUACGGUGAUUGACUUUUGCGCACAUCAUAAUCCAUCUCCUUCAUGAACACUCCCUCGCCGCAAAAUGCAUAUUGUCAUCAAAGCACAAAUUUUUUCACUGUUCAGUUAUUUCACGAAAUAAAUUACAUACCGUUCAGUUAUUCUAUGAAAUACUUGUAUAUGUUUGUAUCUAACUUUCUAUCAUUUCAUUUUAUUUGUAUCUUUUGAGGUAUCUCAAGGAACACCAGAAAACGUCAUAAUUAAGCUUAACCUCCCAAAUCAUGAUCUUACAUCCCCAAGAAUAAACUUUUCAUGGCAGCCUAUGGCAGUAAACAUUUAAGCUUUUGCAUCAAAUAAAAUAAAACAGUACAUGUGGUAGGACAAAAUCUCUACCUAAGCAAUAUUGCAGCAGAAUAAGUACGUAAGCAUUGAUCAGGAGUCAGAAGAUUAAGAUUAAAGUCAAGCUAUAGAUAGCCACUAAAGCUGCCUCUAGCUAGCCGUGGCCGUUUUUUCCCAACUCAGUAGCUGAUGGAUCCCUCGUCGGUAAUUAAGGUAUAGACAGCCGCUUGAUUGAGUCACCAUCUGAAUCUGAUCCAGCUUCUGGAACAGUAAGUAAAUCCACAAAUUUCUAACUCUGAAUUCAGCCUGAAGCUAAAGCCAUUAAUUCAUCAAUUCUGCUGCAUACGCCCAUUAAUUUAAGCUCAAAAUCCAGUACCACACAUACUUAUUCAAUCCAUCCACACACAGUGAGACACAUAGCUCAACAGUCGAUCCAACACUUGAUCGAUACAACACUUCAUUCAUCCGCAAACAAAAGAGGAAAAAUAGCUCAACAAAAUCAAAAACUAUUUAUUUUUAUUUUUUGUGUAGGCAACUCAUGGCGCCGUCGAAGUCGGCAUGCGGGUGUGGUGGCGUCGGUUGUAAGACAGUGUAGGAGAGAAUUCUGUAAAAUAAAAUAAAAAAUAAACGACGGUCUCCUAAAAUAAAAAUGAAAAAUAAACGACGGCUCUACAAAUUGACAGGUAGGACCAACACGAUGUUGGUUCGGAGACAGGGAGCUCCAGUACCAAAUUAAUGCACAUACGAACAAAGAUUUGGAUACCAUCUAAAAAUGAUUUGGAUACGAAGAGGGGUGAAUCUUCCAUUUGAUUUAGUAAAAAAAAAAGUCGACCUACAAAGGGGUAAGCCACCCCAGGCAUUUGCAUUAAGAAGAAGACAUUCUCACACAGGUCGAGAAAUCCCUGAACCCUGCCCCACACCAUACACAGCGGCACCGAAGCCCGUGCGAGAGCGGACGAGUCUUAGGUUUGUGCUUAAGGCGUGAGGCAGAGGAGAGCAUUUUUUAACCCCAGCCUGAAAUUCGCUCCCAUGGGGAGACCUGAGGAGUGCUACUAGAUUUGUUCUCUUAACCAUUACGCCAAGGGCACGUUCGCAGAUUUUCGUAGGAGUUCCUAAUUAUCGAAUACUUGCACUUUGCCUAGAAUAUUUUUCAACUAACCAUAAUUAUUACACUAAUUGAGAUAGUAAAAUAAAGCUACAUAAAAGUAAUCUCAGUGAUGUGUCAUUUUUAAUCGUCUGAUCUAUUGUUGGACGUCUGAGAUUAUCCGUGCUCGAGUCCCCACAAUGUACCUAUGAAUAAGGAUUUAGAUGGGCAAAAUUUCCAUUUAAUUUCUGUACAUGCUUUGCCCCUUUUAAAAUGUACGGCGUAUAAUUUUUAUUGGAAUUUUAAAGUUUGAUUAAUCUUAUAACAAAAAUGUCAACAUUAACGUUGUCAAAGGAAGAAGAAUAGAUUCAUUUUAAAUAUCUUUUGAUAGUAAUCUUGUUUUGACACUGUAUAUGUUGAUUUAUCAAAAUUUUAAAAAUUGAUGAUAACCUACAUUUUGAAACGCAGGGAGUAUACAAUUACUGAAGACUAACCAUUUUUCUAGCACUUCUUCGUAGAUCAGAAUUAUCACUCUAAUAAUUUACGCCACACGCGAACCAUGCCUUUUAAAGGAAAACAUGACAUAUGUGGUCUGCACGACUGCACAUCAGCGCUCAAAUGAUCACAGAGCAUACAACUAGAGAAACCGUUCACAUGCCCUACGAUGAAACCAGAGUCGACGGGGCAGCUUGAGAGGAGUGCCUGAGAACCCUGGGCUGGAUCCUCCUUCCUUUUCUUUUUUUUUCGUAAUUUCAUCACAGGGUUUUUGUGGGCCUUUGAUGACAAGCUUAAGGCUUGGAUCAAUAGCAAAGCUAGACGAAAAGUCCGUUAUGAACGAAGAGUGGUAUACACAUAUUAAGUGAAGAUUUGUUGGGUUCUUUGUGCAAAAUAUUUGUUGAUAUUUUGACGGGCCAAUUUUUUUACGGGUAGAUUAAUUUGUUGAUAGGAUACUCUAAUUGCUGGGCUUUCCUUACGAAAGUAAGUUAUACAUCCAGUAAAAGUACUCGGAAGCCCUGACAUUACAACUGCAGGGGAUUCUCAGAAUUAACGUUAUACGAAGAAUCAUAUACUCCCGCUGGAAGAUGCUUUUAGUCAUAGUCAGAAGUAGUAAUUUUUUUUUUGCCAUCUUACGUCUUAAUGUUCACCAGAUCUGUAGAAUGGUAGUCUCUGAGAACAAUUAAAUUCCUAACAUAUGAGCUGGUACAACCUGGAAGAAACAAACAGUGGAUUUGUGUGUGGUUGGGAGAUGGGAGGGGGCGGAGACCAGAGGAGAGGAGGAAGAAGCAUUCCAAAGAACCAUGGCGCUGGCGCCCUUGUCGGCAACAGCGGGAGUGGUGACCGCAGAAGCCUGUGGGCUCGAUGGGAGAACCGCGACUCUGCUGCUCAGUGAGCUCACCGACAACUCAUAGACAUUUGAUAAAGAAGGGCGGGCGAGAAGGGGAAAGGUCACUCUGGGGGCAUCGUGAGAGUUAAUUUGUCAUAUUAGACAACUAGGAUUGUGUCAUCGAAGUUGAUGUGUUCGUUAAAGUGUCCAUGUUCCUGUAUGGAGAGUACUUUCUAAAAACGUAAUGUUCGUGGCAUUUGUUAUGUAGCAGCAGGCGCCAGGAUUCGCUGGUCCACCUCGGCGUAUUGAAUCUGGGGUGCUACUGCCGCAGCCGCUGCAAUACUUGCGGCGUUGGAUAUUUAGUGGACUCGAGUUCCUGCGACACUUAGUCAAGAAAUUACUUCCCGUGCCACGUAAGUACAGCUGGCGGGCUAUCAUGGGAGAUCCUAUGCCUCAGAAUGUCCCUAGUGCGUCUCCUUUGUCCAUUCCUUUCAUCUUUACUUAUUACUAAGAGCCUCUUUGAUUCAGUGAUUAGCUCAACGAUUUCUGGAGGAUUUUUUUCUCCUUAGAAAUUCUCAAUGUAAGCUGUUUGAUUACUGAUUGUUGGGAUUGUAAAUAAUGCUGUGUAGUGAUUUUUUUUCCCUAGAUUUUAUUUGCACUGCAUUGCAUAGAGAACUUUUCAUUGCGUACAACCUUUUGAAAAGAUACCUAUGUUUUUACAGUCAAAUAUAUUUUUAAUUGCAUAGUAUUAAACAGGACAUGGCAACGUAAUCGUUAUUUUCCCUAUCACGCGUCUCAAGGAUUUUGUGACCAACAACUUAAGGAACUUUAAUUACCUGGACGACUGAUGUUAUUGGUAAAACUAACAUACCGACUAUCCCAUUUGAACAAAGUAGAACUAUUUAUAUAUUGUUGUCAUCACUCCAAAAAGAAAAUCAUCUAGAUAGAUCCAUCUUUUUUUCACCAAUAGACCAGUGACCACCACCUUGACUGAUUGAAUAGAAUAAAUUAACCAAUUUCAUGCAAUUAUGCUUUUAAUCAAUAUAAUGAAUUGUUUUUUUUAAUAUGUGAAUUCAAUUUGACGUAGUCUCAUUGCAAAUUUGGAUAUUAUGGGCAAGUUAUCUAUGCAACUACCUGCAUUUAUUACGUUUUACAUAAUUAAUGGCUCGAGUGGCCAGUAUAUUUAAAUUAUUGUAUUGCUUGGAUGAACAACAGAGACAUGCACCCUAGUUGCAUGCACGGUGUCCAUAGAGACGCGCCAUCGCCAUGCUUUUGAGAGUAUCUACGGAGCGGGCACUUUUCCUUUCAAAGCCGCUUGUCCGAGGAAGCUAAGAAAAAUCUGCGGUAGGACAAGGUUUUGGAAUCCUGAAACUGAAGCGGAGAGAAGCGUCUGCAAUUGUAAAACCGGAGCAAGAUUCGAUCAAGUACUGAGCCUAAUCAUGGAGACAGGUGGGAUCCCAACAACGAAUGCACCCCCCAGACGAUAUCUGACGCUACCCUUAUUAGGAUUCAAUUCCUAUGAGGUGUACGAUUGGUCGACCUCCAUGUGGCUUGUUAGCAGACAGCAGGUGGCACGGCUUAUUCACAUGUAUGGGCCCUGUCCCGUAGGGCUGUAUGUCACCUGGGAGUACAUUUUUGACUGCGUCGGCUACGAUGACAAUGACGAUAUGGACCCAGUGUUAUACAGAGGAUUCGUCCGGCUGCCGGACUGGAGGAUAGCAUGACAGGAUGAGGACCCCACUGCAGGUUAUCAUGCAGUCAGUUGUUUGCUAUGCAUACAAGUUUGUUGGCGAAGACCUUCACCUUAAGAGUCCUGGACAAUCAGACAGCCAAUGGGCCCCGUCGCUGGGUCCUGUAUGAAGCACUGCAGACAAUUGUCACCGUGAAUGUUAAGCCAGUUGAUGCAUCCGGCUGGGCAUACUGAUUUGCAGUAGAGGUUUAACUAGUGUAACGCUAAUCAUUGCUAUUAUAUAUUAGCUGUAACUGCGACAAUGUGAUCAUUAUCGCAACUGUAGUCGUUGCUAUUUCUGCUUUGUUGUUGAAGCAGGUGAAUAUCGUGACUUUCUUUUUCUAUAUAAAAGAGUUCAAACUUCAGAAAUUCUUGGUUGGUCUAUUGCAAAUAUUUUUUAGUAUCACUCUGAUUGAAAUACUACUUAAGAAACUUAGCUAGACGACCAGUCAUUUGGCUAUAUUUUCUUUUGUUUUUCUUCUUCUUUUGGUUCCACUUUGUCAUGCGAUUUUUUAUGUUUCUCGAUGAAUAAACAGCAAAGGCAACUCCAAUAAAAUAAUAACAGUGAUAUGGGUUUGAACAAAUAUUUAGUAUUAGAAUAUGCAAAGGCUAGGCAGCCAGGUAUAUCCAGGGCGGAGCACACCUUUUAUGUUGCAUGAGACCAGAGAGAACAAUAAAUAGCUAUGUUAGUAAGCAAUACAUUCAUUCCUAACUAGCAGUUGUGCCCGCGUGUUGCUACAGGUCAAUAAAAUCACAAACUAUUUAUUUUCAUUUUCUGUGUAGGCAACUCAUGGCGCCGUCGAGGUCGGCAUGCGGGUGUGGUGGCGUCGGUUGUAAGAUGGAAUAAGAAAAAUCGUGAAAAAAAACUGGAGGAAAAGAAAAUAACGGGCAGUGGCAUAUUGGUUGUAAUUUUAACUGGAGGAAAAAAAAAUAACGAGCAGUGGCAUAUUGGUUGUAAUUUUAACGAAGUUAACCUACGGCGAUGACCGCGACCGUACCAUCACCACCAACUCCAAUUUAAUAGAUAGUAAUAGAUUACUACAGAACAGAGGAACCUCAAAACACUAGUGAAUCAGCAAACGUCUUAUCUUAACUCAUAUAAAGAUCAGUUGGUGGCAGUGGUCCGUUACGUUCAACCCACGCCACCCAGUGAUUUGGCACAGACCAUUGAGAUGAGAGGAGGCAUGGAUUAUUUAAUCCGAGACAACAAAGGAUAAUACAGUAUUUUCUUUAGUCUUUAAUACAUGCAUGUAUUGUAUGCAUUUUUCCAUAGCUACUCGCAUGAGUAUUGUGCUAGUAUUUUAAAGUAACAGGUUUCAAAAUAAAAAUAACAAACAACGAUAAGAAUGUUGAUUUUCAUCCCAUGGUGGCUUUUUUUUACCCAAAAGACUGGCACAUGGCCCUGCAACAAUUCUUCACCAACAUAUAUAAGUUUGGAAUCAAAUCAAGAAAACCCAUACCUAGCAAGGAAGGCACGUAAAUAAAGUAUCAGGACAGGGUUAGUUUGAGGGGAGGGAUAAGCAUACCUAGAUCAUGGAUUUCACUAUAGUGGGUUGAUUUAUUUUGGAAUUUGGAGCUCAUAUAAUUGAGAAACAUAGAAAAUAUGGAUAUACACACUAGAAGUAGUAUAUAUUUUGCACUAGAAAAUAAUGCUUUACUUCAUUUGUUUUGACACCAAGUUAUCGCACUUUUGUGUACAUAAGUGAACCUGAAGUGAUAACCAUAGUUAGAUUUACUUGUUCUGAUGUUCUGUCUUGGUUCUUUCAGCUUGCUGCCCGCUUCACGUAAAUAAGUGAAACAAUAACUGAUAAGUUGAGUAAAGUUCGUUUAUUCUGAUGUUCCAUGUUGGUUCUUUCAGACUGAUCAAUGCAAGGACUCUGUGGGAGGUCAGGCCAGCGCUCAAAUGCACAGUUGGAUGGCAGGUACAUAGCUCUUCCUGUAAGUAGUUGAAAAAAUUCAUAACAUUUGGUCCUAUAAGCUAGUUGAAGAUUCAUAACAUUGGCACGGUUUGUCUCUUACGGCUCAAGUGAUAGGAUACCUAAUAGCUGGCCUUUCCUUGUGAAAAUAAGUUAUUCAUCUAGUAAAACUACUCCGAAGACCUGACAUCAAAACUGCAGGGGAUUCUCAGAACUAACGUUAUACGAAGGGUCGGAUACUCCCACUGGAAGAUGCUUUUAGUCAUAUUCAGAAAUAAUAACAUGCUUUUGUGACAUCUUAUAUCUGAAUGUUUACCAGAUCUGUACGAAUGGUAGUCUCUGAGAACAAUUAAAUUCCUAAGAUAUGAGCUUCUACAACUUGGAAGCGAUAAACAGGGGUUUUAUGUGUGGUUGGGAGAUGGGAGGGGUCGGGGACCAGAGGAGAGGAGCGAUAAGCAUACCAAAGAACCGAGGCGCCCCUGCCGGCGACAGCGGAGGUGGUGACCGCAGGAGCCUGGGGGCUCGAUGGGAGAACCGCCGCGCCGCUGCUCGGUGCUCUCACCGUCACCGGGAACUCGUAGACAUCUGGUAAAAGAGGCGACCGCCGAAACGGGUCCUAUGCAAGACGAUGUGGAGGACGCCGGGCCGAAGGGACGGGGGAGAAGGGGAAAGGCCACUCUGGGGCUCUGGGCUGGGGCGUCGUGUGUCCAUGGGACUCGUGGCACUGGGCCCCGAAACCGUAUCUUGCGGGUUUUACCCAUUAGUUAAUGGAGACGGGUUUAGAUUAAAUCUAAUUCCUGCAUGUUUGUUCAUGGGUCAAAAGUAGGUUUCAUGGAUUCAAACUCCGGUCUAGCCCUUCCUGAACCCGAAACCUGAUGGAUUUCACGAAAAAUAUGAUAUAAGUCAUAUACAUGACCCGGUUAAGUCCAUCCUAGAGAAAAUGUUGGGUAUAUAACAUAUUUCUAACCCUAAUUCAUUCCCCCAAAUCGCUAGCCCCCAUUUUAUCGACAUACAUGAUGUUGUUUGUUAUUGGAUGUGUUGUAUAUUCUUACGGGUUCAGGUUCCUCGAUGCCGGAGGCAGCUGCGCUGAGUGAGCCAUGCUAAUUUGCAAAAAAAAAAAAAAACACCUGGCCAUGAUAUCGCAAAUCACCUAAAUAAUCGUCCUCCUGACAUGAUGUGGCGAUCCACUUUUCAUAUGGCCGUCACGGCGGCCGGCGUCCUCCGGCAUACAGCGAUGUCCUCUAAACCUUGGCCCGUGUCCUCGUGAAAGAACCUGGCUAGCCAGAAAAUGUCUACGUGUGACGUGGUGGCGGCGAGUGCGAUGAUCAUCUGGUUUUAUGGACUUAGGUCACCGAAACUUGGCCCACCAGCGCAUCAUCUUCACUGGCCUCGCUGAUUGAUCGGUUCUUUGAGUGGGAACUACUAGCAACAGCAACAUGUAUGACGUGCAAAUUGUUACCAACAUCACAUAAAAGAAUUCCGAACUAAUCUACUUUGAGAAGGAAACAUCGAUCUCAUAUUACAGCAAGGCUACCAACAACAGCAAUGUGACAAAUUAACACUUGGUGCAUGGUGCGGCAGUCUUGGUCUUCCAUCACUGGAGCAGUAGAUCCAUCAUUUAGGUGGGGGUAUUUUAUAACCCAUAUCACAAGGAACUUUUCGCCUAGCCUCACCGCUGAUCCAAGCGUUAAGCUUAUCAUCAAAGGCUCACAGAAACCUCGUUGUGAAUAUUUUUCUAAAAAGAAACCUCGUUGUGAAUUGGCCCGUCAAAAUAUCAACAAAUCUUUUGCGCAAACACAUCAACAAAUCUUCACUUAAUUUGUGUAUACCAUUCUUCGUUCAUAACGGACUUUUCGUCUAGCUUUGCCAUUGAUCCAAGCCUUAAGCGUAUCAUCAAAGGCCCACAAAAACCCUGUGAUGAAAUCACGGAUAAAGACAAAAGGAAGGAGGGUCCAAGCCAGCAUGCUACUUCCCUUCUCUUGAGCUGCUUCGUCGUCUUUGGCUUCAGCAUUGGUCGUAGGGCAUGUGAAUGGUUUCUCUAAUAUAUUCAAGAAACGAAGGAAGCCUUGACCUUCUUUUGCCUGACUUUUCUUCCCGCAUACGAAAUUUCCGUCGAGUGGGUGCAAAAUCUCAAAGUUUUCGGGGCAAAAUGCACAGGUAGUCUUCAAGUGACGCGAUGACUUAUCUGUUGGUACGGGAGGACAAAGACGCAAAAAAAAAAAAUUAUAGCUCGAAAUUUACUGAAGAAAGAAGGCCCGAUACGGCAAAUUCAAGGAGAAGCUUAGAUAUAUGAGGCAAGACGUUUUGUUAUGGUUUUAAUUGGUAGCUUACCGAUGAUGGUGCAUGUUUCGACAGUUGGUUUGCAAAGAUGGUGGUCGUAGCGUAGCUCAGCAAAGAAGUGCUUCACGGGGUCGUCAGCCUUGCUGCGCCUCCGUUUGCUACUACUGGCGUUCCUCUUGCGAGCCAAGAAGCUGACAUGGACCCAAAUGUUACUCCUAAAACCUACGUACGCAGCCAUCAGUGGCUUGACAGGAUCAAACUCUGAACCCUGAAACAGUCCCAAGUAAAAUUUUGUUAGUAUAGUUGCCAGCACUGAAUUUUCAUGACGCUUGCUUUGAUCGAAGCCCUACUGGAUUGUUGGCGUUGUAACGGCGGAGAGCGUGGUGGACGUGGCAAAUGAUUGAGGCGUCGCGCUCCCUGCAAUUGAGAUCCAGACCAAAUACGUUAACUAAGGAAUUCGAAAUUAAGAUCAAUAAUCAACGAAUUAGCAAGGCGGCCGGCGGAUCGGAUAUAUCGGAGAUCGUACUCUUCUGUGCGCCGUCUCCAGUUGUCCCCGCCGUGAGGCGAUUGCGUCCCGCGCCCGCACAUCGAGCGUGCCUGGAGAAUUUGAGCCUCGCGGGUCAUGUUGCACGCGUCAGGGGGAAGGGGUUCAUCCUGCUCUGGAAUCACCCGCUCCAUCGACUGCCGCGAUCCUAUCGUUGGCGCAAGGGGAGCUAGGGCAGGGCGCAAGUCUGGGUCAGAUCUCCAAUAAAGAAUAGGAAACCGGAAACCCCUACCAGCAUACCGUGCGUGCGUGUAUAUAGAGAAGCAGUGAACAUCUGGAAUCCGAUCGCAAUUCGAUUUAGCCCCUUGCCUAUGUAGGCAACGCAAGGUCACUGUAUCACCAGAACGACUCAACGACCGAAUCCAAUGGUGGCGAGUCGGACACUCAACCACAACGUACAAUCCGUUCCUGGGCCGCGACCUCCCGCGCAAAAUGCGCAUGCCCAGCAACACAGUGGGCCUCAAGCCAGCAGUACCUGCCGUUUCAUGCGGUCUGCACGUCUGGAUUACGUACGCCCGUGCGGCAACUAUGCCACCUCUGUCUGGGCCAGCCGUAGGCCCUUAGGCCCAUAAUUGGUCCCCGUGAUCAUAGUCCACCUUGCGCGCCUGGGCAUUGCCCCGCCUAGGCCGAGCGCCUGCGCCUUGGGCUGCGUGCGCGCGCCUUCUGCCGCCGCGCUGCAGGGCUACCUGUGCUGGAUGGGCCUACUGCUGCAUGUUUUGCGUAGCGACCGAUCGGAUUAGGAAGCCUGCUCGGCCCGUCUAGCAUGCCUCCCGCCGGUAGAUCCAUCAGCAGCGCUAAUCGAUCCGAUCUCAUCGAAACCGACUCACCGAAGACUGCUGCUGCACGCCGCCUGUAGGCCUGCCGAUCGACCCGAUCGGCCCAGUACUUGCGCUGCUGCUUUUUCUCUCGAAUCCCGAUCUCUCCUCUCCGAAUAUUUCGAACUUGAAUAGAAUGUAGUGGCUGUUCUAAAAAAAAAGAAUAGAAUGCAGUGGACGGAUGAAUGAUUUAGGUUGUUUCCAUUAGCGCUCUAGAGAAAUUUGGGGUAAAUUGUGUGACCAUUGUAUUUGAUCUCGAAAUUGGAGAAUUUUGCCUUGCUCCGUGGCCUGCGGGUGGGUAAAAGAGGGGAUGGACCAAGUUUGUCCAUCUCGGCGCCGACGAAGCUCAUUUAAACCUUGGAUGAUCAGGUUAACCCAAGUUGGGGGACUGAGGUUCCGUGGAGAAAAAGAGAGAUGCAUGCGGAGAAUAUUUUUUUUACCAAUUGCUUGACGUGCCACGUGUCCAUCAAUAGUGUCUGUCUUGCCAAAUCCAAACCAAAUUUGGCUAGCAUUUGGUUUUUUGCACCGACCAAUAGACGGAUGGCUAGCGUCUGUCAAGUCCCAUUGAAUGACUAUUUUUUUUGUCCGUGGACAAAAAGGAAUAAAAACGAGCAAAUGGCUAGCAUUUGGCCAUUGCUUUUGGAGAUACCCCUAACCACGUGUCAAGAUCAGGGACCGUCAACCGAAUUUCCUUUAGCCUAUAUCGUACACAUAUUCUACACAGUUCCAAUGAAUCUCAAUGACUCAAAAAACUUCAGACCAACACCAAACAAACUUGAAGAACUAAGAACGGGUCAAAUUUCACUAAAACAGCAAUACCCACAAAAAAAGUGCAGUUUCAAAUUUAGUAGUGUGCAAUGUUAAGUGUGUUGGAUUUUCAACAAACUUUAAGAACUAAGAAUUGCCGAAGAGGUUUAGUUUAACUAGGAAUGCUGCAUUUUGUCCACUACUGCGAGCUCGCCUUGCUAUUUGUAGGCGUAGGAAGAUAAAAACAUAGUGAUAGACAAUUCGCCCUUUUCUUAGUCUUUCACAUAUUUAGAGCGGACACCACAAACAUUUUGUGCAAUAAAACUUUACCUGAAUAUAUAUUAUAUCUAGCAAACGUUUGUAUGCCUCCAAAAUGACAAAGUGGUUAAAACUGAACUGAAAAAUAUAGACUAAGAGAUGAUAUUUGGUACUACUACAAUAUAAACAAAUACUCUCUCCGAUUCUAAAUUGUUGUCGAAAUAUUACAUGUAUCUAGACGCUUUUUUAAAAUAAAUACAUCCUUGUUUGGACAAAUUUGAGACAAUAUUUUAGGAUCGGAGGGAGUAACUUAAUAUCUGAUUCGUGACUUCGUAAUAAAAAUGACCGUAUGCAUUGAUUGAUGUAGAGGCCAGGACUUCUUUUUUCUAAACAUCUUAUUAUAACUGCUAAGAGAACAUCUUUUCCUUAAAAAAAAGGCUUACAUCUUUGUUUUAUUUCUUUCUUUUUCAUGGCAACAACUAUCUACAUAGUUUUAUUAGAAGAAUCACAUGUGUCCUGGUACAUUGCCCUCGUACAUCAACACAACCCUUUGGUAACUCCAACUAAUUCAACCACACUCAGGAUGAUCGAUUCGACUACAGCAGUUGCGAUGCCCCUUUCGUGCUCCGCCAAGCCGAGCUGUUUCUCUGCAUGUUCUCCGGCAGGCCACCACCAUUAUUGGUGAAUCAUUUGGUCCUCCGUUCGAUCUUUCUGAGCAUCCAAACAGUUCGCAGCCAAGCAGGCAAGCACCAAAAGGACAUAUAUAGCACACACGGCAUCAACCACAGUCCCGUGCCGAGCCUGGCCAAAUGCAUAAUGCGUAUGCGGACGUCGUGUACUGCUAUAGGCUACAAGUAUACAUCAGUGAUUUGCCUGCAUGCCACCCGUAGGACCGUGUCCGCGCGCGAGGCUUGUCGAGUUUUUGAGCACGAUCGGUGCUUUCACGUGCACGUAUACAUCGCCUGAGACCAUGAGUGCCACAUCGGUUUAUGGCCAUUUCUGCGUAAUGAUUUCCUUCCAGGUUGGAGAUUGAUGCCGGAUGAAGAAACGGGGGAGGAACUCUUGUCCUCUGCAUAUGCUCAGGAAAGAAGAUCUUUUGCCCAGCUCACUUGCAUGAGUAAUACUGUGUACGUGUCUACGUGAUCACCAUUGGUGGACGCGCGCAUGGCGCGAUGCAGAGGGCAUGCCAAUUGCCAGCGCCCGGCCCCGGAGGCCCGGAGCUUGGCUUCACACCCAUAAUUAACGUAGGUACAAUUAACAGAAGGUUCCACUCUAAAUAAUGUUAAAGAACUCUGAAAAAUAAAGUACUCCCUCCGACCCGACCGGAAUUAUUUGUCGAAAUAUUACAUGUAUCUAGACGCUUUUUACAUAUAGAUACAUUCGUAUUUGGGCAAAUUUGAGACAAUUAAUACCGGUCGGAGGGAGUAUUAUUAUAUGUAAAUGCUAGAGUAGUAUUACAUGUAUCUCGACGCUGUUAGGGAUUUUUCUCCCUCGUGUUCUUUUCUUUUCUGUUGUGGACUGGUUUCGUUUGUAUCUAUCGGCUUAGGCCUUUCUUCUUAAUACAAAUAGGCGCAAUUUCUGGUGUGGUUUCCUGAAAAUAAAGAGUAUAUGUAAAAUUUAAUCUAAACUUACCAUGUGUCUUGUAAAUGUACAAAAAGACAAAUUAAGUACUGUUUCUCAAUACCACAACCAAUACCCUUUUUUACAGUACAAAGUACAAGUUAUUUUUGUUCAAAUUUUGAAUGUACUUUUAUAUGUAUAUGUACCAACACCAUGAUUGGUUUGAGAAACUUUAGAGCAAAAUUGUGUACUGACGAAUACCUACGCUCAUCGUGGGUGUAGAUACCAUUAAUUAGCCUUCUAAAGGCCCAACCCAUCCUUUUGAAGGCCCAAUCUUUCGUGGGUGGAGCCAGAAUUGAACAGAAGGGCGAGUUAAAAAAUUUAAAUUUCGUAUUGGAUAUACACAAAUUAACUCAGGACUUAUUCUUUUGAAGCUUCCGCAUUUCUCUAUAGUAUAUCUAAAGAUGUCGAAGGUUUGUCCUAAAUCAAACUUUUUAAAGUUUGAUCAAGUUUGCAGAAAAGUCUAUCAUCAUCAACAAUAUCAAAUACUUCUCCAAUCCAUAAUAAGUGUCAGGAUCUCAUACUUAUUAUGGCUCGGAGGAAGUAGUACUGCAGUAUACUAUGAAGAUAUAUAUCAUGAUGGAUUUAACAAAACUAAUAUAGUGUGUUGGUGUCGAUAGAUUUUUCCGUAAACUUGGAGGCGCGCUAUGGUGUAGAUGGCCGUGGCUCCGCUGGGCCUCUUCUCCCCGGCCAUGGACUCAAAUCCCAACCAAGGAGGACCAGGAGGCGCUGGCGCUCUGCAAUUCCGCCAUGUUCAUUCAUCUGGCGACGGCACGCGCACGUAAGUACAGAACGCGUGAGAGUCAAUCUUCCGCCGGUAGACAGGAGCUUCGACUUCCAACCUUUUAGUUUGCUCAAGAAUUUGUCAAUCAUAGGCCAGAGAUCUGAUCUUCUGAGAUGACCAAUAGACAGGGGAAGACCCAGGUAGGUAAUCAGAAAAUCCUUCCGAAUGCAUUGGAAGUGAUCAGCCACCAUCUGACAUAGGUCGUCGCUGCACUUGAUGCAAGUGAUCGAGCUCUUGUGGAGAUUGAUUCGGAGGCCAGAGGACUCAGCAAAGAUUUCGAGGAUCGCCGAGAUGACAGCCAGAUCAGAGCGAACCUGCCGGAAGAAAAGAACGUCAUUUUCUGCGUGAAUUCCAUUUUCUACCCACUGUUUGACAAUCUGUGACAUUGUUUACCCAAUUUUAAAAUCUCGUCACAUCUUACCCCUACAGUUUUUAGGAAACAUCUUACCCCUAUAUGUACGUACACGACCGGUUUUAUCUCAUUUCUCCAGUUAAACUGAUUAUGGCAUGUUGGGCCAACUGUUCGAAGUGACGUGGCAAGUCCAAGUUUUACGUGCAUUUUGCUAAGUUGUUUUUUCUUUGACAAAACAGCUGCAGUGAGCUAUUUAUAGCCAAAGAGUUCGGACAUAAUCCAACCUAAAGAUUACAAGUGAAACACAAAAAUAAAACAACUAGAGCUUUGUGGUAGGGAACAGAAGAGAAAGGAAAACGAGAUUAAGGUACAUCAUCGGACCCUAUUCGCCUCUUUUAAGCAUUUCAACAAAAUUACUACUAGAUGUCAGCAUCUAUAAGAAAGUCAGACUUCCGGGCAACAGCAGAGGCCAUCAUCAACGACACAGAACGAUCAUUUGCCGGCCCCACUCCAUAUUCGCCUCUUUUAAGCAUUUCAACAAAAUAAGAACUACCACCUUUGGCUGCAUGAGGCAUCCACUCAACUAAUAAAGAGCAAUUCAUACUGAAGUUUGAAAUGCAGCCAAAACAAUCAGGCCAAGAACGUCGACUUCAACGACCUAAGACACAAAGGGAAGCAAUACAUAUCAGAUGGGUGUCUCCUCACCAACCACCACAAGCAAUACAUAUCAGCCGUGAAAUCCAAAGCUGCAAGGAAUGUCGGCCACACACAUCUCCUAAGUUGUUCUCCUCUCGAGCAUUUUACCAUGACUGCAUUGGAGGGGACACACAUGCACACAACCAAAAUAUAUAUUGUCCGACUCCACAUGUGUAGUGGCACAGUAGCAAAACGGCUAGAACCUACAAGAAAGCAACAGACGAUGGGCUCUUGACAUCUUUCUCCUUUGUGACAUCUAAAAGAACAAUAGCCGAGGGGAGAAAACGGGCCAGAUCUGGAAUAUGAAAGUUUUUUUUAGCAAAACACAUGUCCAAUGUGGACUUGCCACGUCACUCCAAAGAGUGGGCUCAACAUGUCUGGAUUAGACUAAUUGGUUAAAUUGGGUAAAUCUGUCAGAUAUGUAUAAAUAAAUGGUAAAAUGUGGCUGAGAUUUUAAAACGAGGUAAAACACUAUCACAAAUUGCCAAAUAGGGGGUAAAAAGUAGAAUUCACUAUAAUUGUAAAUUACAAUGCUGUUAAUACUGUUAUUUUUAUAAAGAGAUUUCCCUCUGAUUUCUAUUAUAAGAAAUACAAUUAUAGUUCACUGCAAGGACGCAAGUUGCAACACUUCUAUCUACUCCCAAUCCAAGUCAUUUAUUUCCGAACAAAGGGAGUAGAAAAGUUUACCAUCAUAGUAGGUGAUAAGCAUCAUAUUUGCACUAUUUUCGGGCCAUAAUUAUAUCUGAAAUCUAGUAUUUGAACUCUAAAUUAUUCUAAAAUGUCAAGAAUUUAUAUGUAUACUUGUAAUCUGUGGCAAAAUUACAUUGCUUCAUCUCUUUUGUAGAAAAAGGGCGAAAAGGCCCAAAAUGAUUUUAAUAUGGAUCACCACUUCUACUCUGCUCUGCCCCAGGACCUGCCGGCAACAAGAUUACAUAAAAAGAGGGGCAAAACAUAAGAAUACCAAGCAAGGAAGGAUCUUCUUGAGGAGAGAGGAGAAAAGAUGGAGGGCUAAACUAUUCCCUCCCUUUAACAAAGAAUGUCUCAAAUGUAACCAAAUUUGAAUGCACCUAAACAUUAAGUCAUGUUUAAAUACAUCCACAAAUUUUAACAAACUUGAGACAUUUUUUGUUCGAAGGAGGGAGUAGAGUACAAUCUUGCAUACCAAUUCGGGAGAGAAAAGGAAGCCUGCAGCCUCAUUUCUAGGGUGUGCCUGGCACUUCUCCUUCCCCUGACCUCUUCUCCACCACUGGCCGCCGCCGCGGCCAGUCCAGCGUGGCGGCGCACCACCAAGACUCCCGUCGCCUCCAUCCACCGUCGACAAGAACACCAUCAGCUCCUCCGACGACCUGCAGCAAGCAAAUCUUCGUCUCCAUCCCCAAGGUUGCCUCCUGCUGCUCCUUCUCUGCCCCAACGCCUCUUGCUGCUCCUUCUCUGCACCCCCAUGCUGCUCCUUCUUGGCAUCUCCUCCAAGUCUGAAUGCUAGUGCUGCUGCUCUUCUCUUCCUCGGUCACAGCGACCGCCAAGUGUUCGAUGUAAUGUUCGCAAGUGUGAUGACGACUAAUCUUUACUCUCCCCUGCUCAAUCUUUUCUUACCGUGUGAUUGGUGUUGAUUUGUGAGAACUAAACCUUUGGUCUGUAGUAAUUUUGUUUCUUUUCUUGUGCUGUCCAUGUUAUGUCCCAAGUACUCAUGAUCUUAAAUAGUUGAACUGUGUGUUGAGCCUUGUUUAGCUUGUCAUAUUUGUGGUAAUUAUGUUGGCAGAUCAUGUUUAUUUUCGAGUUAUUGUGUGAAUGUGAGUACCUCAUGUGUUGUCAAUCUUUGCUGUGAGUAUUUAUUCUUGUUAUUGCGGCAAGAUAGUAGUAGUUUAUGUUAGCUAUCUAUGGUCGUGAAUUUUCUGUGCCAACCUCUCAAAAUUGCUGCUUCCCAGUUUCAGUACAGUCUGCUAGUGCUAACCUCUCAAAAUUUCUGUUCGUGAAUUGUUACCUUUCAGUUUGUUUCAAUGCAUGUCAUCUUGUCUCAUUGUUUUAAUUAGUUUCAGUCUUGUCUCUUGUUGUUUCGAGCUGUUUCGGUUAGUCUAAACUCCUCUUUUUCCUGCAAUUAUCAUCAGUUUUAUUGAUCUAGCUAUUGCCUAGCACAACCACCGCCGUUGCCUAGUCCCUGUGGAGAACCUCGACAAACACUACUAUAUUUGCAUUGAUCAGCAGCCAACAGCCAGCUACUACAGCAGUAAAAACACAAUUCCAGCAAAGAGAUGCCACCAGCGACCAAAACAAAUUAGGAACCACCAGAGGGAAGCUAGCAACAGCUCGCCUCCUGGACAACCUUGUCUGCAACAGGGACCAAAAAUUCAACCAAUGGCAUACCUGAAAUGCCAGAUUGCCCAAAAAUAGCAGAAAUAACCACGGAAGUAAUGUGUUUCUUCUCAAAAUUCUUGUUUCUUUGAGAGGAAAGUAUAUUUUCCGUUCCUCAAUAUAUGAGGAAAAGUACGCUCAACUUUUUUUGUAUUCUUUUUGUCCCCCAACUAUCGAAACCGGACAUCAAUGGUCUCUCGUCCGCCCAAAAGAGGUUUUGGUGCCAACAUAGCAAGGUUUUGCCCCUUGACUUGCCAUGUUGGCAUUUGGUUGACUGUCCAGUUGGACUGGAAACCUGGACAGCUGCUGACAGAGGCAGUGGACAAGACUAUCACAUUUUCUCCCAUCAGCGUGGGUCUACUCGAGCCUCUUAUUGGUUUUUGGGGCGAAAACAAAUAGACUCGGGCUAAAAAAGGGCUAAUGCCAGCAUGACAAGCUGACGUGGCGAGUUGGGGGGGGGGGGUGAUGCCAUGUUGGCACCAAAACCGCUUAAGGUGUGGACCAUUGUCCAGUUUCGAUAAUUGGAGUACAAAAAAUAUAAGAAAACUAGCGGGGUGACCCGUGCAGAUUGCACGGCUAGAUUUGUAUAAUGAAUAUGCGAUUAUAUUUUUUAUAAUAUAUUCAUUUUGUAUGCAAUUUAGAUGUUUUAUAUUUGGAAGUGUUUGAUAUGUGAGUAUUCUUUUAUUUUUACCUAACCAAAAUGUAUAGUUCUUUACUUGUUUUUGUAGAGUAGGUAUCACUAUAUGUUUUAGCCAGAGAGUUUUAUUUUAUUAUCAUUAUGUGCAACAGAAAAGUCUCGGGCUUGUAAAGAUAACAUAUGCCUUUUUGCUGCCUUUUUUUUUAGAUAUUUGAAAGUUUUCCUCUAGACAUCAAUGACGACAGAUAGAUUUUUUUUAUUCUUAUUUGUUACGAAUGAUGCAGUAAGCAUUGAUUUUUAUCCGGUCCAAUUUUUAUCUAUUAGACCCAUUGUCCAUUGUGUUGUAUAUCUUUUGCGAUAUAUUUUCGUUCACUUAAGGCACAAAAUCUUCCUUAUUAUGUCGUGUUGUUUCUAGUGUUGUUGCUACUUCCAGCGUUCAACAUCAAGAGUUGUUCGACUUUAGGUGUCCGUUUUGUUGUGCAUUUGGUGCGUUUAUUGUAGAUUGGCUUUCGGCUGGCAUUUUUGUCGAGGUCGGUUGUAGGUGCAGGCUUGGAUUCGUAGAUGGUGCAUCAGCGGGCGUAUUGAAGCCGGAAGUGCUUGCUAGACAUUUCUUUUCUUCUGAUACACAUAGCAUUACGCCACGUUGUUUCCUUUUUCAUCUCUUUCUUAAAAAUGGACCCGGUUUUGGCUACUGAAGUCCAAUUAGCUCUUCCUCUUUCGAUCAGCAUCAUGUCAUUUUCUGAACAUCUCAUAUGAACUCUGGUUGUGGCAUGGCAGAACGUCACCUGCAGUUGCAGUAGCUGGUUCUGGCUUGCCUUUUUCGCUACAGUCUUAAGCUUUCAAACAUAUGAUAAAUUUGCAUCGCCAUUUGCAAUUUUCUAUCUUUUCUUCAUAUUGUAUUUGUUGUAUAUAAUGUUUUAGUUGGUUCAUAUAUUCUAAAUAUGGGUGCAUUUAUUACUUUGCACUUGUUUCCAUGGCUACUACCGAAAGGCCGCAUAGGCGCAUAUUGGUGUCAAAUACGGUUGGUCGGGUUACGACACUUGUUUCCAUGGCUACUACCGAAAGGCCGCAUAGGCGGAUAUUGGUGUCAAAUACGAUUGGUCCGGUUACGCCGGGCCAGUGCUUGCUAAUAAUCAAACUAAUCUACACUGAUAGAUAUUAGCCGCACGUUAACUUUGACAUAAUCCAUUUAGUAGAAUUUCUAUUGUUUUAAUAAUAUAUAUUGAUUAAUAUAUAUCUACAUGAUUAAAAACCAAAAGAUAUUUCCCUGGAUCCGGCGAACUGCCAUGCCCGGAGCUCGUCAAGAGAUAGAUCGCAGAGGACCUCCGUAGCUCUUUGCUUAGAUUGGAAGACCUUUAGGUUGCGCUCGAGCCAUAGCUGCCACCACCCAAGCAAGAUGAUUGCACCAAGACGAUCACGCCGUGGCUUCAUUGUACAUCGCCUGUCCUCGGACAGCCACUAGUCGGCAAGGGAACCCACGAAGAGAUGCGGCACGGUAUGGAUGAGCACAUUCGUCUUUGAGAGAAGAGAAUUGCAGAAUUGGAUUGAGUAAGAGCAGUUCGCAAACACAUUGGUCUUUGGAGAGGUACGACAAAGCUGGCAGAUCGGA